rnacentral:lncRNA from 1 species
AUGUAUUAUAAUUAAUCUAAUAUUAAAUCGCGUAAUAAUUAGGCUGACAUAUUGGAAUAAAACAUUAAAUUUUUCUUUUUUUGAAUUCAAUAAAACUUUGAACUUAAACCCGACAAGAUUAGGAAAUGAACUUACAGUCUUGUGUUGUGUUUAUAUUGGACUGUCAUAUCGCCGACCCGUACCCCACACUCAUUCGUACAACGUAUUGACAUUGUUUUUUUCGUAGACUAAGUUAACACCAUGUCCCUGAAUGGACAAUGACGUCUUAUCAAAAAAAGAGGAGUGAGGUGCCACUAUAUUUUUGCUCGUGACUUGAAAUUUGAACCAACAAAUUUGGUAUAAUGGUAACAAAAAUAUUGUUAUUUUUUUAUCUAUGUGACAUUGUUUUUAUCAUUAGGAUUUGCCUAUUUUACGUUUCCUCUUACACAGCUGAACAAUGGGUUUUAUUAAGAUUUAUUGUCACAUGGAGAGCUAUAUUUUACAUUAAACGUAAGGUAGCAACUCCCUUAUUAUUAUGGCAUGCAUCUUUUUCUUAAGAUUCUUUGUCAUUUUUCGUUGAACAGUAAUAUUCUUCGGAACCGUAGAACAAUACGUAAUUACAUACUUGCAUCUGUAAUUAAGAACACCUAUCCAGAGAUUUGUUCCCUUCAAUUCAUUGGUACGACAAUACCUCUAAAGUUAAAUAUAACCAUGAUGUGGCUCAUAACUCACAAUUGAUUGAAUUGGUCUGAUGAUUGUUUCAUUUGCCAAAAAGUAAAGCUCAAAUUAAACUUAACUUGGAGAAAAUCAAAGACUCCAUCAUUUUCAUGUUUUUAUACGGUCUCAUAGUUUUUCCUCGUUGGAAAUUUCGAACGUGAAAAGAAGUUAAAAACUUUUAUUAGUUUAUAUAAGAAACUGAUUUCUUUUUUAUUUAAAUCAUUUAACUUAUAUUUUUUCUAGCUUACUUUUAAUUUAAUAAAUAAUAUUUGAACUAAAAGAUACGUGGAUCCAAAUAUCUAGCUUUGUAGAUGUACAACUUUCAUGUAAAGAUAUUUGUAUCUGUAUCUCGAUCCGGAUAUGUACAAAUCUUUAAUAUUACCAUCUAAGUCUGCAUUUUUUAAUCUGCGGUUAAGGAUCUUUCUGGAUCUGGAUCUUCAGGAUCAUUGCGGUUAAGGGUCAGACCCAAAAUUUUUUGUCAUCCCUCGUCUUAAGUAUAUUAUUUGAGCCUGAUGUGACCGACAAUCUAAUUUGACCAAUUUAACCAUUUUAUUAGAAUUUGCUAAUUAAAAUUAAAAAAAAAAAACAAGAAGUUUGCUUAUGUUAUAAAUUUACAUAUGGCAACACUAAAGAGUGGCAUAAAAAAAGAGAGAAGGCCAGAGUAAAUAUAAAAAUCUCAGCAGCUAAAAAUUCAUUAUUCUUAUUCAUUUCGUGGCUUUAUAUAGAACAAGGGGAAGGGGGUGUUAUAUGUUAUUCAUUACGUCCAUUAUUGAUUAUUUUAUUUACAUUCAUUUCUAGGAAUGAUUGAGAACCAGUUGGAUGUAGUUCAUGAUUUUCAUUUCAAAUUUUUUUUAAAAAAAUCUCAGAGGUUUUUAAGAGCUCUUCAAGAGUUCCAAUUAAGUUCAUGUCAUCAAUAUAAAAUGCUACAAUUGCAAAUCCUAAUUUAGUUUUUUUAAUAACUGCAUAUAGGUAAAUAGGAUCAUUUUUAUGUCCUCCUUUAAUUAAAUAUUCCCUCAAAUGCAUCCAAAUUGUUUCAAUUUAGAUAAAGAUCAUUGUAGUUUUAUUGAACACAGAUUUCUUUAAAUCUUUAGUAGUUUUUAUGAGCUCUUCAGGAGUUCCAAUUAAGUUCAUGUCACUAACAUAAAAUGCUAUAAUUGCAAAUCUAAAUUUAGAUUUUAUGAUGAAUGCAUAUGGGUAAAUAAGAUCAUUUUUAUCUCCUUCUUUAAUUAAUAUUCCCUCAAAUGCGUCCAAAUUGUUUCAAUUUGGAUAAGGAUCACUGUAGUCUAAUUGAACACAUAUUACAAUCCUUUAAUUUAAAUGCUUCAAGCAUUUUGAAAAUUUUAAAGAUUUUUAUGUAAAUAUUAGCAUCAGCCAUCAAGUGACCUAUACAGAUAUAUAAUCACUAUAUCUAUUAUAUGCAUGUUAAGUCUUUUUUAGAUUACUAAGUUGAUUAAAAAUCAAAACAAAAUGGUACCCAUCAGAAGAGAAUACAUAUUCUCAUAAUCAAUAUCAUCUAUAGGAGACUUUGUACAACUAGUCAUGCUUUGUAUCUAAUAAUUUUAUUACGUUCAUUACGUUUCCUCACAAAUACUCAUUUAUAUCCAACAGGAUUGAUGUCUUCAUGUGUCUAAACUACAGGUCAAUAAACUUCACGUUUAGCUGGAGAAGUCAAUUCUACUGUAAUGGCUUCUGUUCAUUGAGGCCAAUCACGCCUUUGUCUAUAUUUAUCAGUAGUUUCAAGAUCAUAAUCAUUUAGAAUAUCAUUAGCUACUGUAAACGCAAGCACAUCAUUGAUGAUAAUUUCUUUAUGAUUCCACACAUUUGUGUUUGUAAAAUCUAUAGACGUUUCUUUAUGUCUAGCCACUUCAAGGCCUUAUGCCUCAUCUCAGGCGUGUACUUUUUCAAGAAGUCUUUUAGGGUGUUUGGUCUUAUCAAGGGCAAACGCUUUUAAAAAUAUUACCCUGAGUAUAGUCAACAGGAAUCUCACAAUUUUUUUAUCCAUUUGCCUCUUUAAAAGUUAUUGUCACUUUAGGGACUUAUGUCUCUUUAGGGACCAUCAAUUUAUUUAGAACUAUGAUGCAGAUAAUAAGGUAUAUUCAUAGCUUGAGCUUCAUUUUCAACAGGAUUUGAUUUUUCAUUCUCCUGUUCUGGGGAGUAUUGUCUUUGCAACCAAGUGAUCUGCCAUUUCUAAUCUAUAACAGAUAAUUCAUUAGCUACUCAUACACUUAAUUGUUCAACAAAAACAAUCACUCGAGUUAAUGUAUUAGCAGUUGGAAUAAAUGACUUGUUUAGUUUUACCAAAAUCUGCAUCCGGCACUGUAAAAAUAUUAUCCUCCGUACUUCAUUUUCACAUUAACUAGUACAUGGAUCUAAUUGAGACAAUAUGAAUAAAAAAAAUUUCCAAGACAAUUCAUGCCUUACUUCAGGAGGUUUUCUAUUUCCUGGUGAUGGAAAAAUUGUGUCAUUAAAGUGAAAAUCUACAAAACAUACGGUGAAAAGUUUAUCCGAUAGGGGUUCAAGAUAUCAGCAUUGUAAAAUGAUGCAAUUAUGCAAAUGUAAUAUUGCAUUGCAUAAUACAAACCAACAUAUGACCAUCACACAAGAGAAUCAUUCAAAACCAUAAAAUAGCAAACUAGUCCACUAUUUAGAUAGAUUUUGGUCCACAUAUAUCUCCCUAAAUUCUUUAUAGAAAUGAUGGAGACUCAUGACCAACCUCAGAAGGGGAAUGUGUAUCCACAAAUUUUUCUUGUGAGCAAGUAAUACAAACAAUCUCAUUGGACAAUUGAAUCUUCUAGUUCUUUAAUGGAUCUCCAUGAUGAUUUCAUCAAUAAUUCUAUGCAUCGUUGCAGAUCCUGGGUGCCUGUUGGUUGCUUAUUGCUUUAGGUGUCAAUAUGCAAGUGUACACAAUAAGUAGUAUAAUGAGGAAUAUUCAAAUUGUUUCCACAGGGAUUGAUGUUAUAUGACUUGCUACAACAAUCUUAAUGAUGCAAAUUCAACCUAAUUAAACUAAAAUACUGAAUGAAAUUAUUAACCUAACUAAAUUGAAAAUGUAAUAAAUAGAAUGCAAUAAAGAAAAAUUCUCAAGUCAAACACAAAAAUAUAAUCAAAGGGAAAUGAGUAGUUGAGUGCUUAAACUCACUUAAUGGUAUUGACUAUUUUUCCAUUAAUAUUUUAUUGCAACAACAUUUACUAUAACACUGGGUAGAAUCCCUCAUGCAUCCUCAGCUGUCGCAUAUCAGAUAUCUUAUAUCUAAAUGCAACCUACCAGUGACUAGUUGUUUUGCUAAUAUUAGAUACAACAUUAUACGUUCUAUGUUCCAAUUGUCCUACAAGGUAAAUAUUUAUGUCUAGUUCUUCACUCAUCUUAGAUUAAGCAUCGCCCUAUUCAAAUCGAGAUUAAUUCAACUUGGGAAACUCAACCUAAAACCAUGUAUUGUCUUGAUUUAUUCCACUAAGUCAAACUUUUUUUAGGCUCCUUCUUAACUAGUAUCCACUAAAUGAGUGGUCAGCCAAAAUAAGGAUUUUCAAUAAAUAAAAUCAAGACAAAAUGCUACAACAUAUUCUGAGCAACACACAUGUAUAAGUCAAAUAACCAUUAAGCUUGUUUAAUACCCAACUACACCAAAGUUUAGUUCAUGAUAUGAGAUAAAAUAGUAACAAUACUCAUGUAUGCCAUAAAAUACAUUCCCAUAGAGUGAAGAAAACAAGAAAAUAAAGAUGAGGAAUUGAGUUCCGCUAGGCCUUUGCAAUCUCUUAUUCUUUUUCUUCUGGAAUCCCUUGUUGCAGCCCUCAAUUAUCCCUUAUUCUUUUUUUUUCUCUAUUAUUUUUCUUGAGUGACGGCUUUCCCUUUUCUUCUUUCACGUGUGCUCUUUUUAUAUCUUGAAAUUAGGGCAACUAAAAGUAUGUGGCCACAUGUUUCUUUUUUGAAAACCUCGGAUCACAUAUCUUUUUGUGCCGCCCGUCAUUGCUUUGUUAGUUAACACACGCGUAAUCUUGUCUGCAGUUGCUCUCGAAUUGUUGUAGCAAUGGCUAUAACAUAUUUUCUAAUUUAAACUUAUUUUGGUUCAUCUGCAGAUAAAUUCUUUGUCAUUUCUAUAAGUUUGCUGCUGCUGCAUGCCAUCCAUAAAACUUGAGCUUUUUGACACCUACAAUCACACACAUAAUCAGAGCAUAAAGUUCUCUAAACAAAACCAAUUUAUUAAAAAUAAAUAUAAAAAAAUGCUCAUGUAAGAUGUAAUUAAAAAUGCAAUAAAAACACAUAAGUAAUAUUAGUUUAAGUCUAAAAAUGCCAUGUUAACUCUUACUUCAUAGAGUUGUCACACCCCCAAACUUAAACCAUUACUUGUCCUCAAGUAAUGACAAUAAUACUAACACUUUACUCAUACAAUCAUGCAACAAACAACUUAACUUUAUCAUCUAACUUGGUCGGAUUCAUCAGUCCUCAGAUUUCAUUCUUAAAUAUGCAAAAUCACCAUUAGUAGUUCCAGUUCUAGCUUAGGUCUUAUUCUAUCUAGAGUGUGUGUGUGUGGAACUUUGAUUAAGUUCCAGAGUUGCUGCAGCAUCACACAAGAUCAAAUAUAACUCAAAGAUAAAAUAAAAGACAAUUCUAUUUAUGGGGGAACAAGAGUAAAAAAUAGCUCCAAAUUGUGCUACAACAAUUAUUAUUUUCUUUCCAUUUUUUUCUCAAGUCAUACCCUUAAGUGUAACAUUGAUUUUUCAUAUGAGUGCCUAUCACUUGUAAUGAUGACACCCAAUUACUUAACUAAUGUACAAAUCAGAGUUACUGCAGUAUAAACAUUUAAGAUGCAAUAACAUAGUCUUAUCUUUAGACACUUUUGACUUAAGGUUGAACAUGAGGCUCAUGAACAAACCUGGAUACUCAAUAUCCUAGACAGAGGACCUAUCUUGUUUUUUGGGUUGCUACAGUAAUGCCCAUAACUCUUGUUGCUUUUUUACUCAAGUCUGCAUUUGGGGUACAUAUUCAGCCGUGGUCAUUCAACAACUGAGUCAUUGGAGCAGAAUUUUAUUUCAUAUCUACCACAAUUUGUGACAAUUCUAAAACAUUUUUUCAGGUUCCCCUAAACUUGAGAUAUUGUUAAACCUUAGCUCUACCUGGUUUUUUUACAGCAUACUCACAAAACUCAACCAAAGCCUAAGUGUUAAGACAUAAUUCCAACGCCCAUCUAUAAACUAUCUCUACUUGGAAGUCAUUCGUCUUACAUUUCAUCACUCAAUUCAUCCUCAUUGGGUUUUCUAAUCAAAUACAAAUGCUAGACAAAUAGAGCUACACACAUAAUACAAACACAUACAUUCAUAGACACAUUACACCAUAACACAGCCCCUUUUAUUUGGGGUACAUAUUCAGCCCUGGUUACUCAACAACUGAGUCAUUGGAGCAGAAUUUUAUUUCAUAUCUACCACAAUUUGUGACAAUUCUAAAACAUUUUUUCAGGUUCCCCUAAACUUGAGAUAUUGUUAAACCUUAGCUCUACCUAGUUUUAUUACAACAUACUCACAAAACUCAACCAAAGCCUAAGUGUUAAGACAUAAUUCCAACACCCAUCUAUAAACUGUCUCUACUUGGAAGUCAUUCGUCUUACAUUUCAUCACUCAAUUCAUCCUCAUUGGGUUUUCUAAUCAAAUACAAAUGCUAGACAAACAGAGCUACACACAUAAUACAAACACAUACAUUCAAAGACACAUUACACCAUAACACAGCCCCUUAAACUUAAGAGGUGUUGUGUCCUUACAUGCAUUCAACAUAAAUAAAAACAAACAUGCAUACACUUAAAAUUAAAAAAAUGUAAAAUAAACAUGAUAAAAUAAACAAAAGAAAAGAAAAGAUUUAGAAAUUGCAAAGCUAAAGUGGGCUAACAAGGGAUACUCCUCUGUUGUUGGAAACUAUUCUAAGCAUAUGCUGUAAAGGGUCACUACUUCUUUGAUCCAUUUCUCAAAUGCUCCUUUGGUGAACCUAGUGGUGCAGCAAUUAAUUGUUUCUUCUUCUGGCUUUUGGUUAGAUUGGUUGGAGGGGUUCCAGCAGCUUCUGUAACAUUGGGUAAAGUUGGCUUUGUUUUCUUGGGUUCUGGUUCUUCUGGUGCUCGCAAUACUGCAGCACCUCUAGAAGGUGUGCCCAUUUUCUCUUACUGGGUGCCCUUGGAGUUGAGACAGGAGAUUUUGUGGGAGUUUUCUUUAGAGCGUCUGGUGAAGGAGUUGUUGUUGUUAGUUGAUCAGUAGUAAUGGGUUCCUUUAAACUUCACAUUCAUUCUUUUGUCUUUGUAGCUCUGCUGAUAACUUUCUUUAAGGCUGCAUUAACAUUAUAUUUUUCCUCUGUCUCGGACUCCUUAUAGAUCAACAUUUGUUUCCCUCCAGUCAUAAUUAGAGGUUUAUAUUCCUUUUCCUCUUAUUCUUCUUCUUCCUCACUUUCUGCUCCCUUUUCUUCUUCCUCAUCUUUAGCUUCUUCUUUUCUUGCUGCAGCUCUUCUACUGACUAUUCUUUGGUCAAUACUUCUUCACUUUCUUCUACUGGAGUAGUCUCUUCAGCUCUUUGGAAAUUGAAGUGCGGCAAUAGUGACUUAGGGAAAUCUGUAUGUUUGCUCUUUAUAUAUAUUACAAAUUGAUGUUUUUGUGCUUUAAAAUGUAGUAAAAAGUCUAAAACCUCUUAUUCUCUUUUUUUUUGUGCUUGGACACAUGCAUUUAAGCUUUCACUGAGUUCUUACAAUAUCUUCUCAAUCCCUAUAGCUUGCCUUGAUUUAACAGCAGCAUGUUAUUCUGAGGUUGCUGCAGUAAAUUUCCUACCAAUCCUUUUGACUAUCUUAGCUAUGAUAGCCCCUUCAUUGUUCACUCUCUCAUUACUUGCCAAAAAAUUUUACCCCCGAGGCCUCACAAAUGCUUGUGAUAAGUGAAGGAAAUAGCAAUGUAGUAGACUAUUGCUUAUUUGUUGCACGCUCUCUAAUUGCUUGUUCAAUGAUCUUUCCAACAUCAAUGGCUAGACCCUUUACUAUAGCACAGAGACGUAUGAGUCUAUCUUGGGAUACUGUGGUUGUGUGUAUAGUUAGUGUUGUAUAAAUUUUAUUGAACUCACAAGUGUACGAAUCUAUUAUAGAAUAGAUCAAUGGUGACGAGUGUCGAUCUCACGAGAAGGUGAAUUUUAAUUGCGUGUAGAGUUAAUUUUCUAAGUGGAUGGUUGGAUUUGUGGUGAAGGUCAUUUAGACUUAUCCUAAAAUUUAAAUUAGAAUUGAGGGAAUAAAUUAGAGUAAAAUCUAUUGAAAUUGAAGCGCUUAGGUAUCUGGAUAUGCAUCAACAUGCACCAUGGGUUUAAUAUUCCUUAUUAGUGCCAAUUAAAUCAUGAAGGGGUUUCCACUCCUUAUGAACCUCACUCUAAUAAAUAUGGUGCUAAAGGCUUAUUGUGCCAAAUAGUAAUAACCUUGUACUAGGGAGCCGGUUAUACCAAUGCGGUAUCUAGACAAGAUUAUUAUUAUAUGUCAAUGAAAAGUCAAAAAAUCCACAAAAAUUAAAGGGAAACAGAAAGUAAAUUUACUAAAUCAAGCUCAUGGCACAUGUUGAGACUUCACCUUCAACCUAAACUUGAAAGAAAAUUAGCUAUUCAUAAUUGAAUUAAGGAUAAAAUAGAAAUUUAUUAAAAUAUGUAGAAAAUACAAGAUGGAGAAGGAACUACAGAAAAUAGAGCUAAAAAAUGAAUUCAGGGAUGUCGAAUUAAGGAGGAGCCCCCUUUUUUAUAGAUACAAUGAGUAAAUCAUGGCCAUCAGAUUAAAACAAUUUGGACGCUCAGGAUUGCACCACGUGACAAGUUCUGAUUGGAUAGAACACAUCAUCAGGGCUGUCAUUCCGUGUAAUACAUGUAUCAUACGCAUGUUUUUUGAUCCACUGACAUACUGCCACGUUAUCGGUCAACUAUACAUAAUCAUUUUAGUCUAAUAGGAUCGCGACACAUCAUCAGUCAACGCCACAUAGGCAGUCAAUGCCACACCAUUCGUCCAAUCGAAUGUUGCCACAUCAUCGGUCGGUGCCACAUGAUCAUACCGUAUAUGUAAAUAGUGUUGUGAACAGUAUCAUGAGCAAUACCAUAAAUGUAAACAGUGUCGUAUGCUCCUCCUAAGGUUUUCGACUAUCCUAAGUUCAAAAUUGAUGUCCGUUUUGUUAUCUAAUCUCUUAUUCAUUGUGACAUAACCAUGAUGCCCCGUGAAAUACAGAAAAUACAUAAUUAUAAUAAAACACACAUAAAUAAAUUACAAGGGACUUAACUACAUAAAAGUAGAGAUGUUAGUGAGACUUGGAGUGUAAAAUGAUGAUUUUCUCCUUUAUAAAUAUACACUUUUUAACACUCAAUAGUUGGCAUCAGUCUAGAUUUCAAGAAUUUCACCCAAACCUUAGCAAUAGGAUUCAAGUCUAUUCUAUUAACCACCCUACCCUCUUCAUUCAUCCAUUUACUGCCUUAUAUGGUUAAGGCUUUAAAAACCUCCCCUCACUUCUUUACAAUCAUGUUCUAAAUAAAUUUGGUAUACUCACAAUCAAUAACAGCAGGCAAGUCAUAAAAAACAUUGAUAACUCGAGAAUCUAAAGGUACUUGAACUUGCCUCGCAAAAAUAUUGUGUUGGUCUUGCUGUAACAUGUUUGAAUAGAACGCUUUAACGAUUGGGAGGACUGAGUCUUGGGGGGUGAGCACAUAACUUGAUCCAUCCUCUCCGUGCUGCAGCAGAAUAGAUAUUGUUUAUCAUCCCAGUUGGUUGUUUGGAAAUUAGAAGCCCUUUUCUUCCAAAAUUUCCCUCAGCUCGAUAAUUUAUUUAUAUUUUUCCUCGGCUUUAAAGUUGUAGAAAUGCUCAGGAUCCUUCAAUCUACCAGCACGUCCUUUAAUUUUUGGCAUUGCUGCAGCAAUUUAAAUUGAGUUUUGUUGUGCUGAAAAGAUAAAAACUUGAAAAAAAAAUGUAAAGAUGCUGGGAGUUACAGAUGGGGAAAGAAAAAGUAGUACUGAAUUUGAAAUGUUGAAAGUGAAACCCUGAUUUAUAGCAAAAGGAAAGUGGAGAGAGAGAGGUAAUUAAAAUGAUAAAUGUAGAAAAAUUUUGAAUUUAAAAAAAAUUAAAUGGAAAAGAAGAUAUAUGUGUCAUGGAAAAUCAGGGAUUGCAUAAUCUUUCUUAUUAAAAAUUAUGAUCUACUGACAUAAAUGUGUCAUCCACCAACUGUAAAAAUCCAAGGCUGAUAGUGCAACUGUAAAAAUCAUUGCUGUAACAAUCAAUCCAUUGUUGCAGCAAUAAGGGUAAUGCCUUUGUUAUUUGCAAACCAUUUUUUGUCUACCAUGCUAUAUGUGAUACUGCCGCAAGUUCUUUCUGCUUCUCUGCCCACCUUUUUUUUAGUCAACUUCUACUUGCUCCAAUUUAACACAAGAAAAUAAAAGAGAAUAAAUAAAUUAGAUGCACAUUUUAAAAUAAAAAAAAGACAAAUUAAACAAUUUUCAAAACUAAGUUUAGUGCUUUAAAAUUUUGAAACAACUUCCCUCAUUAGGUUAGGUUGCCUCCUAAUAGUGCUUGAUUUUAGGUCCUUUAGCUUGACCAUCCUUGAUUGCUCAAGCUGGAUCCUUUAAGAACAAUUCCUCCCUUGGAUUGUUCACAAUAGCUCCAAUGUACUGUUUGACUUAUUGUCCAUUCACCUUAAAUUCAUGACAUGUCCUUUUAUUUUAAAGUUCAACAGCUCUGUAAGGUUAAACUUUAAUGAGUUUGAAGGGUCUUGAUCAUUUAGACUUUAAUUUUAUAGGGAAGAGUUUUAAUCACGAGUUGUAAAGCAAGACUUGGUGGCCUGGAAUAAACUCCCUAUGCUGGAUUUGCUUGUUAUGCCAUUGUUUUGUACUUUUCUUGUAUAGUCUUGCAUUUUCAUAUGAGAACAACCGUAAUUCUUGUAGCUCACAAAGCGGUAACUUCCUCUGCUCUAUUGCUAGAUACGAUCAGUUGUUUUAUUGCCCUAUAUGCUUUGUACUCCAACUCUAAUAACAAAUGGAAAACUUUCCCGUAAACAAUUCUGUAUGGAGGCAUGCCAAGUAGUGGGGGUUUUGUAAGUUGUUCGGUAAGCCUAUAAGGAGUCAUUUAGUUUAAUGGACUAGUCAUUCUUUUGGGAUUCACCACUUUCUCUAGAAUCUUUUUUAUCUCCUUAUUGGACACUUCUAGCUAAUCACUUAUUUGUGGAUAAUAUGUUGUAGCAACUUUAUACUUGAUCCCAUACUUAGCCAACGUUGCAGUAAAUAUUCGAUUGCAAAAUUGGGUUCCUUCAUCACUGACAAUUGCUUUACGAGUGCCAAAUCUUGAGAAAAUGUUCUUCUAAAGAAACUUCACCACUACCUUAGCAUCAUUUGUUCGCAAUGUUGUAGCUUCUACCCACUUGGAUAUAUAGUUGGAUACAUAGUCUACAACAACUAAGAUUUAUAAAUUGCCAAAAGAAGGUGGAAAUGAUCCUAUAAAGUCUAUUCCCUAUACAUCAAAAAGUUCAACUUUUAAGAUGUUGGUUAGUGGUAUUUCAUGCUUUUGAGAUAUGUUUCUUGUUUUUUAGCAACUUGUCACAACAUUUAACAAACUCAUAAUCAUCUUUAAAGAUAAAGGGCCUGUAAUAACCUAAUUGAAAAACUUUUGAUAUUGUUCUAUGUCCUCCAAAGUGUCCACUAAAUACUGUAGCAUGACAAGACUGCAUAAUAUUUGAAAUUUUUUCAUUAUGAAUACAUCUUCUGAUCACAUGGUCUAAAUAAAUCUUGUACAAGUAAGGGUCAUCCCACUGAUAGCUUCUGACAUCAUGGAGAAAUCUCUUAUUUUGCUGGCAGCUCAAAUCAGGUGGUAGUAAUCCACUUACUAAGUAAUUAGAGAAAUCUGCAUACUAUGGAAAUCUAGAUUGAUGCAGUAUUUGUGCAUGCUGUAUCAUCAUAACUGCUCAUUAGGAAAAGUUUUUGUGAUGUCCUGCUUAGUCAAAGUGCUUGCAUCUGCUUCAAGUCUUGAGAGAUGAACUGCUACUUAAUUCUUAGUGCCUUUUCUAUUUAUGAUCUCUAAGUCAAACUCUUAUAGUAAAAGAAUCCAUAUAAUCAACGUUAGUUUGACAUCUUUGUUUGAAAUCAAAUACUUUAUUGCUGAGUGAUCAGUAUAAACAGUCACUUUGGUGUUAACCAAAUAAGCUCUUAAUUUACCAAAUACAAAACAACCAGCAACUCCUUUUCAAUGGUAGUAUAGUUGAGUUGUGCAUUAGCUAAGGUCUUGUUGGCAUAAUAAAUGGAGUGAAAAAUCUUGCCUUUCCUCUACCCUAAUACUGCUCCAACAAAGUGGUCACUAGCAUCGCAUAUCAACUCAAAAGACAUACUCUAAUCGGGUGUUACAAUAACUGGUACUAUAACAAGUGCUCUCUUCAUCUUAACAAAGGCUUUUAAGUAAUUUUCAUCAAAACUAAAGGGUUUUUCAUGCUCCAACAGCAUGCAUAAAGGGUUGGAUAUUUUGGAAAAAUCCUUAAUAAAUCUUCUAUAGAACUUAACGUGUCCUAAAAAACGCCUAAUGCCCUUGAAUGAAGUAAGUGGUAAAAGUUUAUCGAUCAUUGACACAACUUAAAAGUAAAUUUUAACUCCCAAGUAUAAGAGUGUCUUGUUGUAUUAUAACUCGGUGAGUCCGAGGUCGAUCCACAGAGAAAAGAUUUAAUUAGUUUAUUUUAUUUUAACUAAAAAUUAAAAUUAAAACUUAAAUACAAACAACUUAAUUUAAAUGAAACUAUGAAAUUGAACUAGUUAGGGUUAUGGAUCCACUCUUAGAAGUAAAUAAAACUUAAUAAAUUCUUUUUGCUAAUUUUUUAGAUUUAUUACCCAAAAGAUUAAUUAUACAAAUUAUUAUUAUUUUCCCUUUAAUUUUAUGAUGGAUUAAGUAUUUAUUGUGCCAAAAUUUAAUUUGUCUACAAUAAGUCAAAAUACCAUUUUACCAUGCCUUAUAUUAAGAUCUUAAGAAUUUAUUGUGCCAAAUUCAUUUGUUUGUCUACAAUAAAUCAAAUUUUCAAAAUAUAAAACAUCUAUAAAAUUAAAUAGAAAAUAAUUUAAUUUAUAAAAUUAAACAUAGAAUUUGAUCAAAUUAUAUUUAUUUCUUAAGAGUUUCACCUUCCCCUAACUAAUAUUAUUUAGUUAAGCAUAAUUAAAAUAAAAAGAAGUAGUAAAAUUGAAUUACUUAUAAUUAAAAGAAAUAAAAACAACUAAAAUUGAAAAUAAAACUAAUUUUAUUAAUGAAAAUAAUUAUAUAAAAUAUUAAAAACACACCUGGAAAUCAAGAUUACAAGGAGAUUGAGAGAAUUUGAGAAGAAGAGAGUUGUAGAGAGAUGAUUAAAACAUAAAAAUGAGGCCCUAUUUAUAGAAAAAUAAAUUCAUAAUCCAGUGCUUUGCGGUCCAUCAUAGGCUUCAUGCAUGUGCUCCUCACAACCCUUAGAUCAAGAUCCAAUGGCUGGUCAAACUUCAAAAGUCAACAUCACACAUGGCAUCAUUUGACUCGUCCGAUUUGCCCAAAGAACAGUUGAGAUUUGGCGGGUUAAUGGGUGGAUCGGGUCGACCCGAAUACAAAGAUUCGGAUCCUCCAACUUGCUUCACCAACCAUUACCACGUGGCACAAUCAUGGCCAUUGAAUCAUGAACGGUUGAGAUUUAGUCAAGAUUGCAAUUUAUCCCAUUCACUCAUAUCUAUUGUAAGCUCAUUUCAUCAUCCAAUCAGUGCUCGGUCAACAGGAAAAAUCAACUUUUUUUACACAAGCCCAAUUUUAAGCCGAUCUUGACUGAUCUUAAGGUUUUCGGACCUCCGGAAUCCAAAUUUGACCUCCGUUUAUCUGUUUGGAGCCUCGAAGUACGUGAAAUUAAUAAUUUUCCUAAUAAACACAUAAAAAUACACAAAAUUAAAUAUAUUUAAAACAUAAUUAAUAAUUCAUAAUAUAUUACAUAAAUACAAAUAUAAAUUAUAAUAUAAGCAUAAAAUAACAUAUUAUCGCUUGAUAAUUAAACAAUUUUUAAUACUAAUCAAUCACCUCUAGUUUUGCCUUAUCCACCUCUAUUCCCUUUCUAGAGACCUUAUGACCUAAUAUUAUCCUUUCUUGUACCAUGAAAUGACACUUUUCGAAAUUCAACACUAAAUUUGUCUCUUCACAUCUCUUAAGCACAUUUUCUUGAUUAUGCAAAUAGUCAUCAUAUGAUUCUCUAAAAGCUAAAAAAUCAUCCAUGAAUACCUCAAGUGCUAUAGUCAUCAUGUUGUCUUCUCCUAUCUUCUAGUGCUAUAGCAAUCUAGUUGGAGCUUGAAUAUCUGUCCAAGAAAUAGUAGUACUCUUUUCUACCAAGUCUGUCCAAUAUCUGAUCUAUGAAAAGUAAUGGAAAGUAAUCAUUCAUUGUGGCUUUGUUUAAUAUUCUAUAAUCCAUGCAAACUCUCCAUCUAGUUAUUGUUCUAGUAGGAAUGAACUCAUUAUUUCACUUGCUAUAAUUGUUACUCCACCAUUCUUUGGAACACAUUGUACUGGGCUUACCCAUGAGCUAUAUGAUAUUGGAUAAAUGAUUCUAGCAUUAAGCCGCUUGAUGAUCUCUUUCUUCACAACUUCCUUCAUGAUGAGGUUUAAUCUUCUCUGUUGCUCUAUAGAGUUGCUGUAGUAAUCCUCCAGCAAAAUCUUAUGCAUGCAUAUGGAGGGGCUAAUUCCUUUGAUAUAUGUGAUGGUCCAUCCAAUGGCCUUUUUGUAUCUCCCCAAUACAUCCAUAAGCUCUUUUUUUGUUCUACAUUCAAACAAGAUGAAAUGAUUACAAGAAGUGUGUCAUUGUCACCAAGAUAAACAUACUUUAAAUGUGAAGGUAAAAGUUUUAAUUCUAAAACAGGAGGUGACUCAAUAGAUCAAAUAAAACUUCCCUAUUUGAAAAAUCUAGAGAUUUAAAGUGCUUUUCAGUUCUUAUGGGUUGCUUCUAUCCUAACCAUGCUUGUCAAUUGUUUCAAGAUCUUUAUUUUCCAGUUCUUCAAAUGUUAUAGCCUUGAGUUUUUUAUUGUUACAGUGACUGUUUAAUCAUUUGCAAAAUCAAACUCCACAACACUGAUAAAAUUACAUGAUUUAACAUCAUCAAGACUCUUCAUGGCAUCUAGCAUAUUGAAAGUAACUUGCUGAUCAUUAACCCGCAUAAUCAAUUCUCUUUUAUCCACAUCAAUUAGAGUAUUUCUUGUGGCUAAGAAAUGUCUGCCUAAAAUGAUUGCUACUUCUUUAUCUACCUUAAAGUCCAACACUAUGAAAUCCACUAGGAAAAUAAAUUUAUCUAUAUUUACCAAAAAUUCUUCAAUCUUAUCUUCUAGAUAGGCAUGAGAUCUGUCAGUAAGUUGUAAAGUCACUAUUGUUGGUCUAACUUCUCUAACUUCUCUAACUCCCAAUUGCUUUAACAUUGAUAGGGGCAUGAGAUUGAUGAUAGCCCUUAAAUCACAAAGUGCCUUAUGAUUAUAUUUUAGUUCCCAUAGAGCAUGGAAUUGUAAAGCUUUCUGGAUCCUUCAGCUUUUGAGGUAUCUUGUUAUGAAGUAGAUGACUGCAUUCUUGCGUUAGAGCAAUUGUUUUAAACUCUCUGAGCUUUCUUUUCCUUGCCAAAAUAUCCUUCAAGAACUUCACAUAAUUUGGAAUUUGUUCUAAAGUUUAUUGAAUUGCUUGUCUUGUUUCCGUUUAUGGAAUCCUUUAGGAAAUAGUGGUGAUGCCUAAACUGCUACGUUGUAGCAGACUGUAUAGAUUGCUUCUCUUUUGCCAUGUUCUGGACUAAUGUGGUUGGCAUUGCAAUAACUUCACCAACAGUUGCUGGAUCAUCAUUUUUUGCAGAUGUUAUAGCUUGGCUGCUCACACCAGUGUGCUAGAAACUGGGAGGUUGUGGCUCCUUUUCAACUUGAGGUUUUUUUUAUGUUACAAUAAUAUUUUCAUUCUCUUCUUGGAUCCUCUAUGUCACUGGGCAAACUGCACUGAGGUCUAUUGCUUAAUGAUGUAGCAAGCUAUCCAAUCUGAUUUUCUAAAUUUUUUAAUGAUACAACUUGACUUUGGACAAUCGUUUCAUUCUUUACAAUAUAAUCUUUAAUCAAUGCUUCAAGACAACUGAGUUUACCAUUGUUGGUGCUUUUUUACCCUUGAUUUUGCUGGUGAAAUCCAGGUGGUUGAGCAGGCAUGUUUUGUCCACUAGGUACCACAACAUGUUGAUUCUGAUAGAUCCAUGAGAAGUUUAGGCGUUUUCUCCAUCUAGGGUUGUAAGUGUUUAAGUAAGGAUUAUUCUGGUUAUAUCUGUUGAAGUUGACUACAUAGUUGACUAAGGUAAGAUUUCUAGGACAAUUAUCAAACAAAUGCCCUUCUCCGUAAUAAACACAAGAUACCUUAGUAAUUUGGUUGACAGUUACAGGAGCAGUAGUCAUAACCUUCACCAUAAUUGUUAACGAGGUUACUUAGGCUGAUAAUGUUGUCAAGGCAUCUACAUUAUGAAUUCAUGUUGUUCUUCUUGUUAUAGUUUAUUUGGUCGAUGGCCAAUCAUAAUUGUUAUUAGUUAUCAUUUCUAAAAUUUCAUAAGCCUCAUUGUAAGACAUAGAUAACAAGCCUUAUUGUUAGCGAGGCACUUGACGAAAGGGGGGCACACUGAGCAAUAUACAACAAGGAAUACAGUGAUGAGGACACCUCCUAAGUAACUCCUUGAAUAUUUCUCAUGCAACAUACAAGCUUUUAUCUUUAAGUUGAUGGAAAUAUGUGAUCUGAUUUAUCAAUUUUGUAUUCUUGGUAAGUAGGAAGUACUUCAUUAAAAAUUUGUCAACCAAGUCAUUCCAUGUAGUAAUGAAGUCAGCCAGUAGAGAGUUCAACAAUGCUCUUACUCAAUUCCUUAGAGAAUAUGGAAAAAGUUUGAGUCUCAAUGCUUUUUGUGAUGCUCCAACAAUCUUGAAAGCAUCACUUACUUUCAAAAAAAAGUUUAAGGUAAAGAUAAGGACCUUCUGAUGGCAGUCUAGUGAAUUGCCCCAUUGUUUAAAACAUAUGAAAUAUCAUUGAUUUAAGCUCGAAAUUAGUAGCUUGCACUUCAUUCUAACUAUUCUAGGAUUUGUGGCUUGAGGGGUCAACACUGCAUAAUCUAUAAUGGCUCUAUCUUUAUCAUUUGUCAUGUAGAUAAUAUUGUUGUUCCCUGGUUGCCCAUGCAUAUUUUGCCCGUUCUGACCAUUUUGACCUCCUUGUGAUUUACUAAUUCUAUUUCUCCUUGAGGGUUCAAGUUCCUUAUAUCCUAUAGAUCAUCCAUGUUGGCAGCAUAUCUUAAAUUCUUAUACUCUCUUUUCAAUCUCUUUUUAGUUUUUUCAAUUUCUGGAUCAAUCUGGAAUUCAACAAGUUUGUACUUACUCAUGCAAGGGUUGCUAGAGCAAUUCUGUCAACAUAGUAAAUAAAUUAAAAGAAAACUAAAAAUUGGCAUCGACUAAAAUUGAUUUCACAAAUCACAAUAAACAUUCAAUCCCCAGCAACUGUACCAAAAUCUUGUUAGUUGUUUAUUCUUUAGGUGUCAAUGUGCAAGUAUACAAAACAAAUAAUAUAAUGAUGACUAUUCAUAUCAUCUUUACAGGGAUUGAUGUUAUAUGACUUGUUAUAGUAAUCUUAACAGUGCAAAUUCAGUCUAAUUAAAAUAAAAUAAUGAAUGGAAUUAUUAACCUAACUAAAUUGAAAAUGCAAUAAGCUUGUUUAACACCCAACUACAUCAAAGUUUAGUUUAUGAUAUGCGAUAAAACUGUAACAGUACUCGUUGUUGCCAUCAAAUACAUUCUCAUAGAGUGAAAAAAAAAAAGAAAAUAAAGAUGAGGAAUUGAGUUCAGCUAGGCUAUUGCAAUCACUCCUUUUUUUUCUUCUGGAAUCUCCUGCUGCAACCCUCGUAUCCCUUAUUCUCUUUUUUCUUUUUUUUCUCUAUUAUUUUUUUAAGUGACGGUUCUCCCUUUUCUUUUUCACGUGUUCUCUUCUUAUAUCUUGAAAUUAGGGCAACCAAAAGCACAUGGUCACGUGUUUCUUUUUCGAAAACCCCAGAUCGCGUAUCUUUUUAUGCGGGCCGUCGUUGCUUUGACAGUUAACACGCACGUAAUCUUGUUUGCAGUUGCUCCUAAAUUGCUGCAACAAUGGCUACAACAUCUUCUCUGAUUAAAACUUAUUUUAAUUCAUCGGUAGACAAAUUCUUUGUCAUCUCUGCAAGUCUGCUGCUGUAGCAUGCCAUCCAUAAAACUUGAGCUUUUUGAUCACCUACAAUCAUGCACAUAAUCAAAGAACAAAGUGAUCUAAAUAAAAUCAAUUUACUAAAAAUAAGCUUAAACGGAUGCUCAUGUAAAAUGUAACAAAAAAUGCAAUAAAAAAAUCAUUCACUCUCUAAGUAAUAUUAGUUUAAGUCUAAAAAUGUCAUAAUAACUCUCUUGGGUGUCCACAACAGUCAUGCUACAAUAUAAAUAUUUUUGACUAAAUGAACUUGUUAUGGCGUUGCUUUUAAUUAUAAUAAACCCAAUUAAGAAGGAUUUACAGCUUCUUUUUUAUGUAUUCAAUGCCUUUAUUGUAUUUAUAUUUUAAUCUCAAUAUGAUAUCCAUUUUGGUAGACUUUAAAUGCAAAUUUCUUCUGGAUCUGACUAAAUAUAAGGCAUUCGAAAUACAUAAUUUUCUUUUUGCUUGGUAACAAGAUCAUAUUUCUUUUGGGGAAUUCAAUUGAUUAUAUACUCUUCUGGAGUAUUCAAUCUGGUCCGCAAGACCAAAUAUAAUGUGUACUUUUGCUUUAAACAAUUAUAAACAAACUAUAUUAACAGAAUAAUAACAAUAAAGACUAUAUUACAAAACCAGCCAUAUAAAAUUAUAAAUCAACAUAGGAAUAAAUCACAAAGAAAUAAAUAUAAAUAAAUGACAAGCAAUAAGAAUUAAACUACUCACUUUAGAAAAUUCCACAUCAUGUGGUUUUCCUAAUAUUUUUAUUGUCAUAAGAAAUUAUGAUUGUUAUAAGAUAAUGUUCUUUUAUCAUAAGUUCCAAUGCUUACAUUCACUUCAAGGAAUGAUAAGCUUUUGACAUGAUUUUAAUGAUUUCUCAUCACCAUUUCAACUGUGAUCGAGUAUCGCUAUAUUAUACUCUUGUGUUUGUAUAGAACUUCAGGUUCUAGCUUUUAAAAUUAAAACAUAGAACUUCAGGUUUUGAUUUUUAAUGAGAUUAGAACUUUAGGUUCUCCCACCUUAUUUGUAUUGUAAACUUUAUGCUAUAACAAUAAUAUUUAAAAAUAGAUGCAAAACAUAUCUCAAUUUAUUAAAAUUAAAAUAACUUAAUAGAAGGUUAAACCAAACAUAUUAACAUAAUAAUAACAUAAUAAUACUAAAAAAAUAAAAUUUAUAUACUAAGCAUAGAACUACAAGUUCUAUAAUGUUAAAACUUCAAGUUCAUAUACAUAUAUAUACAAUCGUUUCAGAUCCACAUAUCUUAGAAUCAAAAUUUCUAGGUCAUGUAUAUACGUUGUAGAAUUAGAACUUCAGGUUCUAAUCUAAUAAUUUGAAACUUUAGGUCCUAAUUUAAAUUUUAAAACUUCAAGUUCCAAAGGUUAAUUAUGAUAACAUCAGGUUAUUAUAAGCACCUUUGUUACAAACAUCAUCCAAUAAUACAAUUAUCAUAAAUAAAAUUAAAAACAAAUGAGCUGUACGAUAAUUUAAAGGGUGAAUUUCAUCUUACUCCCUUAUUAGAUUAACAUACUUUAAUUUGCCCCCUAAAAGUAUGAAAACUUCAACUUACCCUUCAAUUGUCUUUAUUUUUAACAGUUGACUGAUGUUGAUUGAUUAAAAUAUAAGAAUGCUCCUAAUCCUAACUAACUAAUAUUUUUAUGGGGGUUAACAAGGAUAAUUAUAUUUCACCCCUUGAGGUUUGACAUCUUUCAAGUUAGAUGACAAAAAUAAAUUUAUUAAUAAAACCCCUAUAAAAAAAAUUAAAUACAAAUUAUCUGUAUCAUGAUUUAAAGGGUGAAUUUCAUCUUACUCCCUUAUUAGAUUAAUAUACUUUAAUUUGUCCCCUAAAAGUAUGAAAACUUCAACUUACCUCCCAAAUAUCGUUAUUUUUAACAGUUGACUGAUUAAAAUAUAAGAAUGCCCCUAAUCCUAACUAACUGUUUUGUGGGGUUAAUAAAGAUAAUUUCAUUUCACCCCUUGAGGUUUGACAUAUUUCAAGUUAGAUGACAAAAAUAAAUUUAUUAAUAAAACCCCUAUAACAAAAAUUAGUAACAGGCCUUUAAAAAAUAAAAUUAAUUUUUACUUAUAUUUUGAUUUAUAAAACAUAAAUAUGAUUUCGUAUGCAAGUAUAACAUCUCAUGCCCAAAAAAAUCAAGAGUAGAAAUUUAGAAUUGAACCUCCAGCCAUUGGUACUUGCAAACUAAUGUUUGCUUCUUUUGAUCCUUAUGUAAUCAAUUUUGAUCAUAUAGUUUUUGUAUCAUAUUACAAAGCCUUAGGGACCAAUACCAUUUCCACCAUUUCCUUUUUAUUUCAUCUUUUGAUCAAAGAUGAAACAGCGGGAAAUUGUUUAAGCAGCUGCUAGAUGGCACCAGCUUCUCGAACCGUGGCAAACAAAUUUUUCUUUAGGAGGAUUUUAGACAAGAUGCAAGACAUGUAUCAACAGCCAACAACCACGUGUUUAACACUCUCCCACUUGGUCUAAACAUUUUACUUGAUAUGAAUCAUGGUUAUAAGUCAUCUAAGAACGAGUAUUAUCUUCCAUGCAUUACAAUGCACUAUUUUCCUUAAAUACUAGCCAUAUAUGAUAACUUAAAUUAACGAAUAAACCCCAUGUUCGUUCUAGAUCUUACAAAAAAAUAUUUUUUUCUCAUAAUAAACAAAUGUGCACAAAAAUAAGAGAAAACAUCACAAUAAGUUAAAACAAGAGUUUCAUUUAUAUUACAUUGUAUUUAUAAUGAAAAUUACAUGAUGGAACCGAGUCUUAUUCAAUCUACAUGAUCCUUAAACUUCUGUAGUGGCAUGCAUUUUGUUAAACAAUCAACAAUUAUCAUUUCAGUGUUAGCGUGUUCAAUGACCACUUUCUUUGCUUUAACAUGUUCCCUAAUGGCCAAAUAUUUAACGUCGAUGUGUUUACUUCCACUUCCACUUUUGUUGUUUUUAGCCAAGAAAACUGCAGUUGAAAUGUCACAAUAUAUCCUUAAUGGUCUUGAGAUCAAAUCUACAAUUCUAAGCCCAGGUACGAAAGUGUUCAUCCAUACACCAUGUGAGGUAGCCUCAAAAUGAACUUAGCUUUCACAAUAGAAGUAGUAGUCAAAGUUUGUUUUAUACUUCUCCAAGAUAUAGCUCCACUAGCAAGUAGAAAAAUAGAUCCAUAUGUUGAUUUUCAUGAAUCAACACAGCCAGCGAAGUCUGAAUCAGUGUAGCCAAAAACCUCCAUAUUAUUAGUUCGUCUAUACAUAAACAUGCAAUCCUUGGUCCCUUAAAGGUGUUAGCCUAAAGAGCUACACAUAUUAUAAUUUUGAUGAUAACAAACAUGUAUUUUAAAUGACAUGAUAAAUAUUAUAUUUCACAUUUUCACUAGUUCUUGAAGGAAAAUAUUUAUGUAAGUGAAUCGAGUGAAAUCAAGCUCAAGACACUCAACAGACAAGGGCUUGAUCAAGAACAAAGUUUAGCUUAACAAAGUCAUUAUCGCGACAAAUUCUUGUAAAGCUUGUAUGAUUUAAUAUAUGCAUUGUUUAACAUUAAAUUAUUACUUUUCAUAAACCAAAAGGUUUUAUAUUUAUAAGACAAAUAUUUUGUGGAUUUGAGUGUUUUUCAAAUUUUAGAUUAAAUUGAAAAAGUUUUGAGAACUUUGAAAUCAAUAAGCAUUAUGGUAACACAAUUAUGAAAAGAACUUCUUUGAAAAGCAUUAUAAAGUUUACGCUAUAUCAUAAUUUUAAAAAGUUUUGGGAAAACAAGCAUUAUUUGAAAAUUCUGAAAUUGGAUCUAUUUACAAAUUUUUAUAACGUUUUGGGUGAUAGUCAAAUUACUGAAAGUUUUGGGCAAAAAAUAAUUUUUAAAAAUAGUGUUACUGUAGUAAAAUUCAAAUUGCAACAGUAUCUUGCACUGCGCUAACGGCGAGCCGGCUAAUUAAGAGGCUAGCCACUUGUUUGCUUGUUUUGUCCAUAACAGCUAAUUUUUGUGUCAAAACUAUAUAAACUCAAAUCCAAUUCAAUUUUAAGAACUUUUGCAAGAAAGAACAAGAGCAUACAUCAUAUUUUGAGCUUCUAUUUCGCAAAUCAUUAUAUAUUAAAUCACCAUUGUACUAUUAUUUGUAUAUCCACUCUAAAAAAGAGUUGUGUGUUGUAAUUUUCAUUUUUUUUAUCAAAUUUGUGAGAAUUUGAGCGUAAGAAACACUUGGGUUAAUAGAUUGAUGGAUAAUCUUUUGUUGUAAAAGUCUACUGACAUUUUGGAAGUUAAUUGUAAGAACUUGAAACCAUGGGAGGCUUGGAUAGCGAAAUCUUCAAGCUUGAAUUGCUUAGAGACGUGAACAUAGGCAGGGAUUGCCGAAUCACGUACAAAUAUUUGUGUUUGCUCUCUCUUCCCUUACUCUUUUUAUUUUUUAGCAUUGUUAAAUUUAUUGUUUUUUAUUUUAUUAAGGCAUUAAAUUAAAUUGUUGUGUGGUUUGCUUAGCUUAAGUUUUAAAAAUCCAAUUCACCCCCCCCCCUUUUAGGUUGUGUAACUAGUAUUUCAGAAGGUACCGAUUACUUUCUUUGCAGCUUUCCAAUGGUCAAAACCUGGAUUACUCUAAUAUCUUCCUAAAAUUCAAACAACAGAUGCAAUUUCAGGUCUUGUAUAGACUUAAGCAUGCAUCAGACUUCCAAUAGCAUAUGCGUAUGGAAUAUUUUUCAUUUGUUCCCUUUCAAAAUCAUUUUUCAGCCAUUGGUUCAAAUUGAACCUAUCACCCUUCACAAUGGGAGCUAUACUUGGCGAACAAUUUUUCAUUUGAAAUCUCUCCAAGACUUUAUUGAUAUAAGUUUUUUAAGACAGACCCAAAAUUCCUUGAAAUCUAUCUUUAUAGAUCUUAAUGCCUAUAACAUAAGAUGCAUCACCCAUAUCCUCCAUGUCAAAAUUCUCAAUGAGAAAUUGUUUCACCUCACAGCUGUUGGAGAAUUUUGAAAAUCAAACACUAGUUUAUUUCUUCAACAACAUUCCUCAACCACAACUCUUACUUUUAACUCUCUCUAACUUAGAAGCUUUGUUGCUUCACUUGAUGCUUAAGCUAAAUACAUUAGGGCCAUUUAUACAUGUUACAAAUCAAUCAAAAUUAUUCAUUUAUUCAAAUACAAAAUAAAUCCUAACCAUUCAUCAAAACUUACCACUCAUUUACUUCACCAACCACACCUACUACAAGAAACUUCUAUGAAAUGGGCUUAGGUUUCUUAAAUUUGGAUCAAGUUUAUGAUCCAAUACCCCUCCUUAAACUUCAUCCUGUGACACUAAGCAAAUUUCUUAAUUUUACAAAGUCUUCUUGCUUGAGCGGCUUGGUGAAAAUAUCAGCUAGUUGAUCUUGUGAUUUCAUAUACUUGACUUGCAUUUCUUUUCUUGUAAUACACUCUCAUAUGAAAUAGUAGUGAAUAUUUAUAUGUUUCCUUCAAUCAUGAAAGACAAGAUUCCUGGAUAGGGCAACUGAUGGUAUAAAUCUCUGUUGGCUCUUAUUGUGGCAAACCUAACUCCUUCAGCAAAUUUAUAAGCUAAAUUGCAUGGCAAAUACUUGAUGUAGCAAUUGCGUACUCAGCUUCACAAAUGAAAAGUAUGAUAAUUGGUUGCUUCUUUUACAUCCAUAUAAAAGCAAUAUCUCCCAUGAAUAACACAAUCAUGUGGUGCUCUUUCAAUCAUCUACGUCGCCACCCCAAUCAUUAUCUCUAUAUCCAACAAGCUUGUAGUCAAUAGAAAAUGAGUAUAACAAGAUGAAAUUCAUUGUAUCUUUGAUGUAGUCAAUGAUUCUUUUUGUAACUUUAAAAUGAGUGGUCUUCAGAUUCUCCAUGUAUCGACUCACAAAUCCAACAACAUAAAGGAUAUUUGGUCUCGUGCAUGUCAAAUAACGUAAGCUUCAAACCAAACUCUUAAAGAAUAUUGGAUCUACAUCUUUGGCUUCAUCAUGUUUGGAUAACUUUACUUCGCAUUCCACUGGCGUGCUUAUAGGCUUACAAUCAUUCGUAUUGAACUUCUUCUUUUUUUUUCAUAUCUUUCUUGGGAGAUAAAUAUGCCUUCAAUACUGAUGUAAGUCUUAUCGAACUCUUUAAUCAUUACUUUUUUGAACUCCUAAAAUAAGCUUGGAUUACUUCUAAUGAAGAUGAGGUCAUCCACGUAUAGACACACAAUCAGAAUUUCUUUAUCUUUUUCUUUGAAGUAGAGAGCAUGUUCAUAUGAUCAUUGGGUGAAGCUGUUCUCUUAAAAAUACUUGUCAAUUCUACUAUUCCAUGCCCUGGGUGCUUGCUUUAACCCAUAAAAAGUUUUCUUUAAUCUCAAAAUUUUAUCUUCAUAUCAUUUCACUACAUAGCCUAAUGGUUGUUUGAUAUAAAGCUCUCCUUUGAGGAAUCCAUUCAAGAAAGCAGACUUCAACAUCUAUUUGAAAAAUCUUCCAUUUUUCCUAAGCAGUCUAAGAAAUAAUAAGUCUAAUAGUUUCAAGUUAGGUUACAGAAGUAAAUACCUCAUCGUAGUCUACGCAACUUGUCUUAUAUUGUGCCUUUCAAUUUCUCCCUUCACAUUUCUCUUUGCUUUGUACUCUCAUUUGACACUAAUCACCUCGUGACCUUUGGGAAGAGUAGUAAGUUCCCAAAGUGUUAUUCUUCACAAUAUCUUUGAUUUCUUUAUCUAUUUUUUUUCUUCACUUCUCAUAUUGUGCAACUUUUUAGAAGUUGAUUGGCUCACAAUCAGUAAAGAGGUAAAAAUCUCUCAGUUACCUCGUACUUGCUUCCCUUUAAUUGUGGAAUUUAGAAUGACAUCAUUCCAUCAUUUGCCAUAAUUCAUAAAUUGAGUGAGAAUUUAAAGAUUCUGAAUACUCGGAUGGAUCUAGAACGUCAAAAAACCUAUGGAGGAAUUUGGGUCAACUUUCAGUCAACAAUCAAUGAUCAAUGGUCAAUGGUCAACAACGAUCAACGAGCAAUACUGGUCAGCGUUCAACGGUUCAGUUGACUGGACUCGGUUUUGUCUCGGUUUAGUUCAGCUCAGUUUGGUUUGGUUUGAAACAGUGCGGUUCAUUUCGGUUCAACUUAGUUCAACUCGAUGAGUCAACUCAGUUCCAAGGUAAAAAAAUUUUGGCAGCGAUUACGGCGGGCCCCAGACUCCGAUCGGGAUGAGCUCUUUAAAUUGAUAUGCUACACUGCUAAGUCGAGCAUCGAUUACGAGCUUUGAUACCACUUUGUUGGAGAAUUUUGAAAAUUAAACACUCAAUUAGUUUAUUUCUUCAACUACAACUCUUAUUUUAACUCUCUAUAACUUAGUAGCUUUGUUGCUUCACUUGAUAUUUUAACUAUAUACAUGAGGAGUAUUUAUAUAUGUUACAAAUCAAUCACAACCAUUCAUUCAAAUACAAAACAAAUUCUAACUAUUCAUCAAUGAUGAGAACAUCAAGGGAAUACCAUUAAAGUUUCAAGUGAUCAUUUGCACAUUCAUGGAGGUCCAAUUACAGAGCUAAAGCAAAAAAUAUGCAAGCUAUUUUAAAUGGAUUAAUUGAGAAAAUAUGAACUGAAAAUGCAAUUCAAGAUGCAAGACGUGAUGAAUUGGGCUUGGAAAGAAGACAAAGUAUUGUGGGCAUUAUUCAAGUUGUUGGGCAGCCAAAUACAUAAUUUGGAUCAAAUGCAGAAAGGGUAAAUUCGGACUAAAAUUGGUAUUGAUUGAGCUGGAACUAAUAUGCAAGCUAUAUAACGUUGGAAAGAAAAUUAAGUUAACUUUCUAAUGUAAUUAAAGAGCUGGAUUUGGAGUUCUCUAGAAGAUGUUAUGACCAAUUUAUUACAGCAUGUUCAAGCUUGGAAAUUCCAACCACUCCUUUGUGUGGACUAAAAUGAUGAAUCAAAAACCUAGGCUUAUUGAACGACAUCAUUUGGGGUAUGUUUAAUUAGCUCAGGGAGUCACGGCCUUAGCAUAUGGCUGACUAAAGAUCAAAACGGCAAGAGAUUAAGAUAUUCUGGCUGUGGUUUAAGUGAAGCAUGUGAUCGAGCGCUUGAGAGGGAAUUAAGUUAGUUAAAGAAGAUGUUAUCCAAAUGGAAAACAUCUAUGCAUUUUGGGUUUCAUAUCAGCUGGUAUAUAAAUUGAUCAGUAGAGUAGUUUCUUGAUUGAUCAUGGAGCAUUUUAGAGAGAGUUUAAAGAGAGAGAAAGAGUCAUCUUGUUCUUUGUAAUCAACUCUUGUGUUGCUCUGUAAAAUUCAGAAGAAUCAUCAAUAAACCUCAUUCUGAUGGCUUCUUCCGUAGAUGUAGAUUGUGCAUACUUGCACAAUCGAACCGUGUAAAUCUUUCUUUGUUUUCUGUGCUUGAUUAAGUCUUACUUCUUGUUGGUUUAUAUUAUGUUUAUAGUCAUUUUCAUCACAAAGCUUUCUUAACUUUUAAAGUUGAUUGUUGGAUUCAAAACAUCUUUGUUUGAUCUGGUUUGUGAUCUUAGGCAGUGAUUGACACUUGGUAUCAAAGCUUGGUUAACAAAUCAAGAUCCAAGUAUGGCAACUCCAAAGAUCGAUCUUGAAAAGUUUAAUUGAAAAAUGACUUUAACAUGUGGAAAGUGAAAAUGGAAGCGUUGCUGGUUACACAAGGCCUCGGUGAUGCAAUUCAACCAGUAACUAAGAAAUAAGGUAAAUAGAUCUCUUCAUCAAAGACUCAUGAACAAGCUGCUGAGAUUGAUAGAAGGGUUGGAGUAACCAUAAUCUUGAGUCUUGCAAAGUCUGUCAUAUGGGAGGUGGCAAAAGAACCCAUUGUUGUUGAUUUGUGGGCCAAAUUAGAGAGUAUCUGCAUGAAAAAAUCCCUUGCAAAUAGACUAUAUAUAAAGAAGAGGACAUUCACAUUAAAAAUGGUGGAGGGCACAUCCCUAAAUGACCAUCUCGAUGAGUUCAAUAAAGCAUGUAACACUUUGGAAACUAUUGAUGCAGCCCUUGAUGAUGAAGAUAAAACUCUUCUAUUAAUACGCUCCUUACCAAAAUCCUAUGAGCAUUUUGUUGAUGCCUUGAUGUAUGGAAGGCAGACAUUGUCUCUAAAUGAAGUUAAAUCAGCUUUCAACACAAAGGAACUGCAUGGUAAACAAGAUCAUCUAGGAAAUGUAUCAGGUGAAGGAUUAAUAGCAAAAACAAAACUAGAAGAGAAGAAAAAUAAGCAAGGAAUAACAAAGAAAAGCCAAAGAAUUUGAAGUGUUUUCUAUGUCACAACGACUAACACUUCAAGAAAGAUUUUCUAGAGAAGAAGCUUAAGAAGAAAGGUUAGAAUGGAGGUGCAGCUGUAGCUAAGGAAGAAGGCUAUGAGUCUGCUGGAGUAUGCAUUGCAACAGAUAGCAAAGACAAAGGUAAAUGGGCUCUUGACUCGGCCACAUAGCCCAUAUAAGAGUUACUUUACUGAAUAUCAUGAUUAUAAUGGUGGUAGAGUGAUGAUGGGGAAUAAUUAUGUGUGUAAAAUCAUGGGAAUUGGCAAUGUCAAUCUGAAGCUACAUGAUAGAACCACUAGAGAGCUUAAACAAGUCAGGUAUGUACCUGAGUUGAAAAGAAAUUUGAUUUCUUUAGGAAUGCUUGAUCAAAUGGGGUAUAGUGUUGAGAUUGAAUUAGGGGAAUUGAAAAUCGUCAAGGACUCACAUGUUGUUAUAAAAUGUAGCAGGAAAAAUGGGGUGUCCAUCUUAUAUAGGUAUGUGGUUAAUGGUGAAGCUGGAGUGUCAUCAAUUGAUGAUAUUGACAAAACCAAGCUAUGGCAUCUAAAGUUAGGACACAUAGGAGAAACGGGUCUUAAAGAACUUGAAAAACAAGGUGCAUUAGGGAAUGAUAAGCUGGGUAACUUGGAUUUCUACGAAGAUUAUGUACUAGGCAAAUCUACAAGGGCUAGUUUUAAAAGAUCAAUACAUAAGUCCAAGAAUAAAUUGGAGUAUGUUCAUUUUGAUUUGUGGGGGCCUGCUCAACAGAUAUCUCUAAGUGGUAACAGUUGCUUCUUAUCAAUCACUGAUGAUUUUUCUAAAAAGGUAUGGGUCUAUAUCUUGUAGAACAAAGAUAAAGUAUUUGAUAAGUUCAUAAAGUAGAAGAGUUUGGUUAAGAAUAAGACUGGAAGGAAGGUAAAAAGACUUCAAACAGACAAUGGCUUAGAGUUUUAUAAUCAGAAAUUUGACAGUUAUUGUAUAGAAGAGGAGAUUAUGAGACACAGAACUGUUAAACUGACACCUCAAUAGAAUGGCUUGGCAGAAAGGAUGAACAGGACACUCAUAGAGAGAGUGAGGUGCAUGUUUGCUCAAACAAAGCUUCUCAAGGCUCUGUGGGCAAAAAUACUCUUAACAACGUGUCAUUUGGUCAACUUUAGUCCAUCUUCAGCCAUAGAUUUCAAGACGCCUUAUGAGAAAUAGACUGGUCAGCCAGCAAACUAUGGAGAUCUAAAAGCUUUAGGUUGUACAACCUAUGCUCAUAUAAGCCAGGGAAAGCUAGCUCCCAAGGCUUUAAAGGGCAUCUUCAUAGGAUAUCCAGAAGAGAUGAAAGGUUAUAAAAUCUGGUGUACAGAUGUCAACCCUCUGAAAUGCAUAAUUAGCAGGGGUGUGAUAUUCAAUAAAGAAGAAUUGAUAAGCAAGAAGUCUAUUCAAAUAGAGUUUUAAGUUGAUUCCAAGAUGUCAUAUGGACAUCAAAUUGAGGUGGAGCUACCAAACCAUUAUGAUACACAUGAAGCUGCAGAUUCAGGUAAUAUCAAUGAUGAGACAGAAGCUCAAGAUUUCCCUCAACCAGAAUAAGAAUCACAAGCUCAGGGUUACCAGCUAACUAGAGAUAGAACAAAAAGGCAAACCAGACCACCUAGAAGAUAUAGAUAUGCUAGUCUUAUCACAUAUGCCUUGGAAGCUACACAUGAAAUUGAUGAUAAGGAACCAAAGACCUUCAAAGAAGCAACCCAGAGCAAGUUCAAAACUGAAUGGAAAGAGGCUAUGGAUGAUAAAAUCUUAUCCUUGUACAAUAAUGAGACCUGGAAACUAGUUGAAAGACCAGUAAAUAAAAGAAUAAUGGGCUGCAAGUGGAUUUUCAAAAUCAAUGAAGGCUUUACAAGCCCAGAACCAAAGAGAUUUAAAGCAAGGCUUGUGGCAAAGGGGUAUACACAGAAUGAGGGGGUUGACUUCAAGGAAGUAUUCUCUCCUAUUGUCAGGCAUGCUUUAAUAAGAGUGAUUCUGUCACUUACAGCAGUUCAAGACAUGGAGCUUUAUCAACUUGAUAUUAAGACUCUUUUUUACAUGGAAGACUUCAAAAAAAGAUAUCCAUAACUCAACCUGAUGAGUAAGAAGAUCCUAAUAAGCCUAGACAUAUGUGUUUGCUUAAGAAAUCUCUUUAUAAAUUAAAACAAUCCCCUAAACAAUUGUAUCUCGGAUUUGAUGAAUUCAUGGUGACACAUGGAUUCAUGAGAUACAAUUAUGAUUGUUGUAUGUAUUAGAAGUAGUUGAAGGAUGAUCUCUACAUAUAUCUCCUCCUAUAUGUAAAUGACAUGCUGAUAGCCUGUAAAGAAAGGGAAGAAAUAGAAGAUUUAAAGCGUAUCCUAAACUCUGAGUUUGACAUAAAGAGUUUGGGCAUUGCAAAGAAAAUUUUCGAGUUGGAAAUUGAAAAAAAAAUAGAAUAUGUAGUCUUAUGUUUUUGUCAUAGAAGAAAUAUUUGACCAGGGUACUUGACAUAUACAAGAUGUUGAACUCUAAACCAGUGUUAACUCCCUUUGCAGCUCACUUCAGGCUUAGUAACUUGCAAUUUUUAAAAACAAGUGAAGAGAAGCUGGAAAUGGAAAAUGUACCUUAUGCAAAUGCAGUAGGAUGCCUUAAGUAUGUCAUGAUCUUGACAAGACUAAACAUAUAAUAUGAUGUUAGUGUUGUGAGCAGAUAUAUGGCAUCACCUAGUAUGGAGUUUUGGAAAGUAGUAAAACGAAUAAUGAGGUAUCUCUAUAGUAUAUUGAGUUGUGGCCUAGUAUAUGGAAAAAAUAAGGGAAGUUAUGAAGGUUUGCUGGGACUUGUGGAUUCAGAUUAUGCAGGAGAUUUAGACAUGAGGAGAUCCUUAAUUGGUUACAUGUUUUUAUUUAAUGGUUUUCUCAUUAAUUGGAAAGCAACUCUACAACAUGUGGUGGCCUUGUCAACUACAGAGGCAGAAUAGACAGCUGCUACUGAAGCUGUAAAAGAGGCAUUAUGGCUACAAGGAUUAAUGGGAGAACUGGGUGUGAAAUCGAAAAUUGUAACAGUUUAUUGUGACAGCUCAAGUACUUUUCAUUUGUGUAGGAAUCCUGCACAUCAUGAGAGGACAAAGCAUAAAGACAGUAAGCUUCAUUUCAUUCGAAAUGAAGUGUCUAAAUGAGCUAUGAAAAUGUCCAAGGUUCAUACAGAUGAGAACCCUACAAAUAUGCUCACUAAAUUGGUGUCAACGGCUAAGUUCAAGGAGUGCUUGAGCCUAGCUGGCUUGGGUGAUUGCUAGUUACCUGAGAGUUUAGAGAAGGAGAUAAGAUGUGAGGUUUUAAUUCAAGGUGGAGAAAUGUAGACUAAAAUGAUAAAUCCAAAACCUGGGCUUAUUAAACAACAUUGUUUGGGGGUAUGUUUAAUUAGCUCAGGGAGUCAUGGGCUUAACAUGUGGCUAACUAAAGAUCAAAACAUUAAGAGAUGAAGACGUUUUAGCUAUAGUUUAAGUGAACCAUGUAAUCGAGCACGUGAGAAGGAAUCAAGUUAGUUAAAGAAGUUGUUAUCCAGAUAGUAAAAAUAUGUGCAUUCUGGGUUUCAUAUCAGCUGGUAUAUAAGCUAAUCAGCAGAGCAGUUUCUAGAUCGAUCAUGGAGCAUUCUAGAGAGAGUUUUAAGAGAGAGAAAGAGCCAUCUUGUUCUUUGUAAUCAACUCUUGUGUUGCUCUGUAAAAUUCAUAAGAAUCAUUAAUAAAUCUCAUUCUGAUGGCUUCUCCCAUUGAUGUAGAUUGUGCAUACUUGCACAAUCGAACCACGUAAAUCUUUCUUUGUUUUCUAUGCUUGAUUAAGUCUUGCUUCUCGUUUAUUUGUGUUCUGUUCAUAGUCAUUUUCAUCACAAAACUUUCUCAACUCUUAAGGUUAAUUGUUGGAUUCAAAGCAUCUUUGUUUGUUCUGGUUUGUGAUCUUAGGUAAUGAUUGAGUUGCUCAAGUAAUCUUAUAGCACUCUAAUCACUAUACUUUGUUUAUUCAACUUCAUUUAUUUAUUUUGUUUUAAGUUUUUCAAUGUGUUAAGUAAGUCUACCUUCAAUGAUGGUGGGCUAGUUUUAAGUUUGUCAAUGACUAGCAUUAAUAAUGGUGGGUUAGUGAAGAUUUUUAAAACAUCCUUUGACAAACCUAUACUUAAAAGGUUGUUCCAAUGUUUUCAUUUGUACUUUUAGGAUCUUGAGUUUCUAUUAGCCUAUUUAAACUCAGCAACCUUACUAUGUAAGACAAUUAGAUAUUAAUGUUAUAUUGAGUUGGAAAUAUCAUUCUUUCUUUAUUGAUUUUGAGAACUAGUGAACUUAUCAAGAAUUUUUAUUCUUUUGGUGUUCCAAAAUAAACUUAUCACUCACCUUCUCAUCUAAAUCUUGAGUGUGGCGUCAAUAUCCUUUUUUAUACCUCUGGUUUAUAUUUUCUUAAACAUUGAGUUAAGGUUUUGUUAGCCUAAAGGGCUAUACAUAAUGUAAUUUUGAUGAUAACAAACAUAUAUAUUAAGUGAUUUAAUAAAUAUGUAUUUCACAUUUUCACUAGUUUUUAAAGGGUAAUAUUUAUGCAAGUAAAAUCAAGCUCAAGACACUCAACGGACAAUGGCGAAAUCAAGAAUAAAGUUUAGAGCUCAACGGACAAAUUAUUGCGACAAAUUCUUGUAAAGCCGGUAUGAUUUAAUUAAUGCAUGAUUUAACAUUUGAGAAGCUCAAUAGAUUAAUUUAAUUAAUUAUUUUUUAUAAACUAAAAGGUUUUAUAUUUAUAAAAUAAGGUGUUUUGUGGAUGUGAGUAAUUUGGAUUAAAAUGAAAAAGGUUUGUAAUCUUUGAGUUUAAUAAAUAUUAUUUUGAAUUUCGGAGUUGGACGUUUUUACAAACAUUUGAAAUGUUUUGGGCCAUACUAUAAUUUAUGAAUAUUUUGGACUAAAGUGAAAGGUUUUGAGAACUUUGAAAAAUAUAGGUAUUAUGUUGAAAAAGACCUUUUUCAAAAACAAUAAUAUAUUUGGGGCCAUAUCAUAAUUGCAGAAAGUUUUGAGUUGACAAUCAUUAUUAGGAAAUUCUGAAAUUGGAACAAUUUGUAAAGUUUUAGGCCAUAGUAUAAUUAUAGAAAGUUUUUGGCCAAACUAUAAUUUUAGUGAACAGUAUUACUGUAGCAAAAUUCAAAAAUAACGGUAAUAUCACUGUUCAUGAGCAACUAGCCGGAUAAAUCAAGCGGCUAACCGCUUGGUUGCGGGAAUUUGCCUAUAACGGCUAGUUUUCAGACUUUAACUAUAAAAACUCAACUUCAACUUCAUUUUAAGAACUAAUGCAAGCAAAUAUAAGAUCAUAUAACAUAUAUUGAGCUUCCAUUUCGUAAAUCAUCAUUUAUUGAAUCAUUAUUGAGGUAUAAUUUGUUAUCCACUCUUAAAGAGAGUUUCAUUGUUGUGAUUUUCAUUUCUCAUCAAAUUGUGAGUGUACAAGUGUGAGAAACACUUGGGGUGAAGAGAUUGGGGAUAUAAUCUCUUGUUGUAAAGGUCCAUUGACACAUUGGAAGUCAGUUGUAAACAUUUGAAGCCUUGGGAGGCUUGGAUAGUAAAAUCCUCAAGCCGGGUGAGCUUGGAGGCAUGGACGUAGGCGGGGAUAGCCGAACCACGUAAAAAUCUUUGUGUUUGUUUUCUCUUCCUUUACUCUUUUAAUAUUGUGCUUGAUUGAAUUUAUUGUUUUGAUUUGAUUAAGGCAAUAGAUUAAAUUAUUGUGCGAAUUGUAUUGCAUAAAUUUUAAAAUCCCAAUUCACCCCUGACACAACUUAAAAGUAAAUUUUAACUCCGAAGUAUAAGAGUGUCUUGUUGUAUUAUAACUCGGUGAGUCCGAGGUCAAUCCACAGAGAAAAGAUUUAAUUAGUUUAUUUUAUUUUAACUAAAAAUUAAAAUUAAAACUUAAAUAUAAACAACUUAAUUUAAAUGAAACUAUGAAAUUGAACUAGUUAGGGUUAUGGAUUCACUCUUAGAAGUAAAUAAAACUUAAUAAAUUCUUUUUGUUAAUUUUUUAGAUUUAUUACCCAAAAGAUUAAUUAUACAAAUUAUUAUUAUUUUCCCUUUAAUUUUAUGAUGGAUUAAGUAUUUAUUGUGCCAAAAUUUAAUUUGUCUACAAUAAGUCAAAAUACCAUUUCACCAUGCCUUAUAUUAAGAUCUUAAGAAUUUAUUGUGCCAAAUUCAUUUGUUUGUCUACAAUAAAUCAAAUUUUCAAAAUAUAAAACAUGUAUAAAAUUAAAUAGAAAAUAAUUUAAUUUAUAAAAUUAAACAUAGAAUUUGAUUAAAUCAUAUUUAUUUCUUAAGAGUUUCACCUUCCCCUAACUAAUAUUAUUUAGUUAAGCAUAAUUAAAAUAAAAAGAAGUAGUAAAAUUGAAUUACUUAUAAUUAAAAGAAAUAAAAACAACUAAAAUUGGAAAUAAAACUAAUUUUAUUAAUGAAAAUAAUUAUACAAAAUAUUAAAAACAUACCUGGAAAUCAAGAUUACAAGGAGAUGGAGAGAAUUUGAGAAGAAGAGAGUUGUAGAGAGAUGAUUAGAACAUAAAAAUGAGGCCCUAUUUAUAAAAAAAUAAAUUUAUAAUCCAGUGCUUUGCGGUCCAUCAUAGGCUUCAUGCAUGUGCUCCUCACAACCCUUAGAUCAAGAUCCAAUGGCUGGUCAAACUUCAAAAGUCAACAUCACACAUGGCAUCAUUUGACUUGUCCGAUUUGCCCAAAGAACGGUUGAGAUUUGGCGGGUUAAUGGGUGGAUCGGGUCGACCUGAAUACAAAGAUUCGGAUCCUCCAACUUGCUUCACCAACCGUUGCCACGUGGCACAAUCAUGGCCAUUGAAUCAUGAACGGUUGAGAUUUAGUCAAGAUUGCCAGUUAUCCCAUGCACUCAUAUCUAUUGUAAGCUCAUUUCAUCAUCCAAUCAGUGCUCGGUCAACAGGAAAAGUCAACUUUUUUACACAAGCCCAAUUUUAAGCCGAUCUUGACUGAUCUUAAGGUUUUCGGACCUCCGGAAUCCAAAUUUGACCUCCGUUUAUCUGUUUGGAGUCUCGAAGUUCAUGAAAUUAAUAAUUUUCCUAAUAAACACAUAAAAAUACACAAAAUUAAAUAUAUUUAAAACAUAAUUAAUAAUUCAUAAUAUAUUACAUAAACACAAAUAUAAAUUAUAACAUAAGCAUAAAAUAACAUAUUAUCACUUGAUAAUUAAACAAUUUUUAAUACUAAUCAACCCCCCCUCUUGGGUUGCAUAACUUGCAUUUCAGGUUUUUGUUUGGCUUAAAUCUGUUUAGAACUUUCUUGGGAAGUUGAAACUUUAAAUUAAGUGUGGGUUUCAAAGUUUUAUUGCAGGGUUCGCAUCAUUUGGUAUCAGAACUAGUUUCUAAUCAGGUUUGAAUGUUUUAUUUAUUUUGAUUAAAAAAAAACAUACAGCAAAAAAAAAGAUUGCAAAAGGAUUCAAGUCUUCAUACUUUCAUCAAAUCGAAUUUUAGUUAUUCAUUUACCUUGACAUUGUUGACACAUAAUAUCAAUUGUGUUCCUUUGUUUGGUUGUUUUCUUUUCUUCAAUUUCCUUUGUCAUUCUUUGUGUCCUCUUAAUUCAUUUACUUUGGUUAAUGUGCUGGUUUGUCAUAUUUGAUGUGCCACCUGGAUUUUUCUUAUUUUUUUAUUUAAUUCAAUAAAGAACUGAAAGAGAGAAUUAAGUGUGGUAAAAGGCAAAAGUUUAUGAGAUCAUUAGAGGGUAAAAGCUAAUUUGUGUGAUAAAUACAAGGGCUAAGUGACAUAAAAUUGAGUGAAUCAUGUGAGGGAGUGUUGUGAGGUCUUUUUGCUAACAUUCUUUUCAGAUCACAGAUAUGUCAAAAGAUCAAAAAGUUAUAGACUAAUCAAUCAUGCUCAAGCCAUGCAACAACAAUUUGAGCACAUGAAUCUAAUGUUUAGAGAGAUCAGUGACAAAUUGGAGAGGCAAGACACUGCCAUUGUCAAUCUACAAAGGGGGCAACAACCAAUAACUCUUAAUGUAAGAGGUAAUCAAGGGCGUGAUGCCAUGAGAGAAGAAGAUGGCGAUGACCUAGAUAAUUUUGAUGACCAUGCUACCGUUAACAUGCAUGGAAGAUAUGAUAAAAAGCAAGACAUAUAGAUUGUGACUUGGGUAUUAUCAAACUGAAAAUUUCUUUAUUUCAAGAUAAAAAUGAUCCAGAAGCUUAUUUAGAGUGGGUAAAGAAGGUGGAGCUAGUAUUUGAUUGCCACAACUAUUUUGAGAAGAAAAAGGUAAAACUAGCUGCUGUUGAAUUUACCAAUUAUGCUAUUAUUUGGUAGGAUUAGCUUGUUAUGAGUAGGAGAUGAAAUCGUGAAAGACCUAUAGACACUUGGGAGGAGAUGAAGGCCAUUAUGAGAAGGAAAUUUUUUCCUCGUUUUUAUUCUAGGGAGAUGCAUCAAAGACUUCAAAGUCUUACACGAAGUUCCAGAAGUGUGGAACAUUACCACAAGGAGAUGGAAAUAAUCAUGAUUAGAGCCAACAUUAAAGAAGAACAAGAGGCCACUAUGGCUAGAUUUUUACAUGGUUUAAAUCAAGAUAUUGCUAACGUGGUUGACUUGCAGCACUAUGUUGAGUUGGAAAACAUGAUUUACAUGGCCAUGAAAGUAGAACGACAACUGAAAAAGAAGGGUUCCACUAGAACCAAUUUGGUUUCAUCUUCCUCAUGGAAGUCAAAAUUGUCAAAGAUGAAAAGGUUGUUUCAAAGCCUAGGAUUGAGUCAUUCAAGGUUCAUAAAGAGGGAGGCAACCAAAGCAAAGGUAAAUCUGAUUCCCAAUACUCUAGAAAUAUAGAUAUUAAGUGUUUUAAAUGUUUGGGGACAGGUCAUAUUGCAUCUCAAUGCCCAAAUAAGAGAGCAAUGAUCUCAAGGGAUGAUGGUGAUAUUGAAACCGAGAGUGAAUCAGAUGAUGAACCUAUGCCACCUUUAGAGGAUGCUAAUGAUGGUGUUGAGUAUUCUAUUGAUGGUAAAUUAAUGGUUGUUAUGUGUGCUCUCCUCAUGCAAGUAAAAGAAUAUGCAAAGGUACAAUGUGAUAACAUCUUACAUACUAGAUGCCACGUCAAAUAUAAGGUAUGUAGUAUGAUAAUUGAUGGUGGAAGUUGUACUAAUGUAGCUAACACUAGUUUAGUUGAAAAAUUGAACUUGGAAACUUUGAAACAUGCUAGGCCAUAUAAGCUACAAUAGCUGAAGGAUUGUGUAGAAGCUAAAGUAAAUAAACAAGUGUUGGUUUCAUUCUCUAUUUAGAGAUACAAGGAUGAGGUUGUACAUGAUUGAGUACCCAUGCAUGCUGGACGCAUUAUUUUAGGGCGACCUUGACAAUAUAAUAGGUGUGUGACACAUUAUGGUUACUUAAAUAGAUAUUCUUUUGUAAUGAGUAAAAAUCAAAUCACUCUUGUACCUUUAACACCUAGACAAGUGUUAGCCUAAAGGGCUACACAUAAUGUAAUUUUGAUGAUAACAAACAUGUGUCUUAAGUAAAAAUAAUAAAUAUUGUAUUUCACAUUUACACUAGUUUUUGAAGGAUAAUAUUUAUGCAAGUGAAUCAAGUGAAAUCAAGAUUGAAGACACUCAACGGACAACGGCGAAAUCAAGAAUAAAGCUUAGAGCUCAACGGACGAAUUAUUGCGAAAAAUUCUUGUAAAGCCGGUAUGAUUUAAUUGAUGCAUGAUUUAGCAUUUGAGAAGCUCAAGAAAUUAAUUUAAUUAAAUACUUUUCAUAAACUAAAAUAUUUUAUUUUUAUAAAGUAAAGUAUUUUGUGGAUUUAAGUAAAUUGGACUUAAAUGCUAAGAUUUGAAAUCUUUGAUUUUAAUAAGUAUCAAAUUUCGGAGUUGGAUGUUUUUUUCAAACAUUUUAAAUAUUUUGGGCCAUACUAUAAUUUAUGAAUAUUUUGAACUAAAGUGAAAGAUUUUGAGAACUUUGAAAAAUAUGGGUAUUAUGUUGAAAAGGACCUUUGUGCGAAACAAUAAAAUCUUUGGGGUCAUAUCAUAAUUUUAAAAAGUUUGGGAAAGACACUAUUCUUGAGAAGUUCUGAAAUUGGACCUAUUUGCAAAUUUUUCUGACGUUUUGGGCCAUAUUAUAAUUAUAGAAAGUUUUGGGCCAAAGUGUAAUUUCAAUGAACAGUGUUACUGUAGCAAAUUCAAAAAUAACGGUAAUAUUACUGUUCCUGAGCGGCUAGCCGGAUAAAUCAAGCGGCUAACUGCUUGAGCGCUGGAAUUUGCCUAUAACGGCUAGUUUUUGGGCUUCCACUAUAAAAACUCAACUCAAACUUCAUUUUAAGCACCAAUACAUGCAAAUAUAAGAUCAUACAACAUAUAUUGAGCUUCCAAAACGCAAAUCAUUAUUGAUUGAAUCAUUGUUGAGCUAUUAGUUGCAUAUCAACUCUUAAAGAGAGUUUUUGUUGUAAUUUUCAUUCCUUACCAAAUUGUGAGUGUUUAAGUGUGGGAAACACUUGGGGUGAAGAGAUUGGGGAGAUAAUCUCUUGGUUGUAAAGGUUCAUUGACACCUUGGAAGUCAAUUUUAAAAACUUGAAGCCUUGGGAGGCUUAGAUAGUGAAAUCCUCGAGCUCGGUUGGCUUGGAGGCGUGGACGUAGGCGGGGAUUGCCGAACCACGUAAAAAUCCGCGUGUUUGUUUUUCUCUUCCCUUGCUCUUUUUAUUUUUACGCUUGCUUGAAUUUAUUGUUCUCUAUUUCAUUAAGGCGUUAGAUUGAUUUAUUGUGCGAAUCGUAUUGCAUUAUUUUUAAAAACCCAAUUCACCCCCCUCUUGGGUUGCGUUACUUGCAUUUCAUUUGGUAUCAGAGCUUGGUUCUCUUGUUAGGACUUAAUCGUCUAGAGUAAAAGAUCCAUGGCAACCCAAAAUGAUUCAACCUUUAGGGAAGGACAAUCCACAACUAGGCCACCGUUCUUUGACGGAAAUGACUACCCGUAUUGGAAAACUAGGAUGAGAAUUUAUUUACAAGCAUUAGAUUAUGAAAUUUGGGAAGUUGUAUGUGAUGGUCCAUUCAUGCCUUUGACUAAAAAUGAAAUUGGGGAAGACAUUCCAAAACCUUCACGGGAAUGGAAUGAAUUGGAAAAGAGAAAAGCCUCUCUAAAUUCCAAAGCCAUGAAUGCCUUGUUUUGUGCACUCGAUAAGAAAGAGUUUCAUAGAGUGUCUAGUUGUGAAAGUGCUAAUGAAAUUUGGCACAAACUUGAAGUUGUUUAUGAAGGCACGAAUCAAGUGAAAGAGUCUAAAAUUAGUAGGUACACUCGACAAUAUGAAUUGUUCCAAAUGGAACAAAAUGAGAGUGUGUAUUCUAUGUAUACUAGAUUUACAGAUAUAGUAAACACUCUAGGAGCCCUAGGAAAGACUUUUUCAAAUAGCGAGAAAGUUAAGAAAAUCAUUAGGUCAUUACCUAAGGAAUGGAGACCAAAAAGGACUGCCAUUGAGGAAGCUAAAGAUUUGAAUAUCUUACCUAUUGAUGAUUUAAUUGGUUCUCUUAUUUCUUAUGAGGAAGAUUUGGCAGCUGAAAGAGGAAAUGAGGAAAGGAAGAAAAACAUUGCUCUCAAAGUCACCAAAUAUGAGAGUGAUGGGGAAAGUGAGCCGGAUGAUGAGGAGUUGGCUAUGCUAGCAAGGAGGUUCAGAAAAUUUUUCAAGAAAACUGGUGACCGAAGAAAAUUCAGAAAUUUCAAAAACCAAAAGGAGAAGAAAGAGGCAAUCAUAUGCUAUGAAUGCAAGAAGCCCGGCCAUAUAAGAUCGGAAUGCCCACUUCUCAACAAACUCAAGAAGAAAGCUAUGGUUGCUACUUGGGAUGAUAGCGAUGAAGAUUCAAGUGAUGAAGAUGAGUCGCAAGAAGUUUCAAACCUAGCACUUAUGGCACUAGGAGAUGAUGAUGAUCUCAAUGAGGUAAGUGGUCCAACCUAUGAUGAAUUGUAUGAUGCUUUUAAAGAAAUGCAUGAUGAGUUGAUGAAAAUUGGUAAAAAGAAUGCAUGCCUUAAAAAGAAAUUGCUAGAAUCUACAAAUGAAAAGGAUGCCAUGCAAAAAUGCAAUGAGUCAUUGAAUGAGAAGAUUAAAGGAUUAGAAUUAGAGAAUAAAACCUUGCAUAAUAGAGUUGCAUUAUCAAGUGAAAAAUCUAGUACUUCACAUGAGCAUUUAGAGUCACAUGUAGAUGAUUUGAAAAAGGAAAAUGAAAUGCUCAAGAAAAAGAAUAUUGAACUUAGUAAAGUUGUUCUAAAAUUUACAAAUGGGCAAAAGAUGUUGGAUAAUAUGCUUAACUCCCAAAAAUGUGUUUUUGAUAAAGGAGGACUUGGAUAUAAGCCUAAUUUGAAGCAAAAGUAUUAUAAGAAUUAUUUUGUUAAAGCUACCUCCACAAAUGAUCAUAAGAUUGUUUGUCAUUAUUGUAAUCAAAAUGGUCACAUGAAAUAUAGAUGUCCCGUAAAAAGGAAUGCAUAUAAUGGUGUCAAAUGUGUGUGGGUUCCAAAAGGAACCGUUGCUAACGAUCAAGGACCCAAAAAGGUUUGGGUACCUAAAACAUAAAAUUUCCUUUACAGGGCUUGAAGAAAAAGAAGAAUAAAUGGUACUUGGAUAGCGGAUGUUCUAGGCAUAUGACCGGAAACUAUGCAUGGUUCUCAAGUUUCACCAAAAUCGAAAAUGGUGGAGAUGUAUCCUUUGGAGAUAACUCAAAAGGAAAAAUUCUCGGAAUUGGAAAUGUUGGUAAAAUUUCUUCAACUCUAAUUGAAAAUGUGUGUUUGGUUGAAAAUUUGAAACACAAUUUGAUUAGCAUUAGUCAACUAUGUGACAAAGGUUAUAAAGUUGUUUUUGAUAAAUCAAGAUGUGUUAUUGAGAAUGCAUGUGAUGGAAAAAUUUUGUUUAUGGGAAAUAGAUGUGGCAAUGUUUACACAAUUGAUAUAGAGUGUGCAUCUACUCAUGAUAAAUGUUUUUCGGCAUUGCAUGAUGAUGGUUGGUUAUGGCAUAGAAGACUAGGACAUGCUAGCAUGGAUUUAAUUUCAAAAAUUUCGAAAAACGAUUUAGUUAAAGGUCUUCCAAAAAUUAGUUUUCAAAAGGAUAGAAUUUGUGAAGCAUGUCAAUUUGGAAAACAAAUCAAAAUCUCUUUCAAAAACAAGAAUCAUAUUUCUACUUUAAAACCUCUUCAAUUACUUCACAUAGAUUUGUUUGGACCUUCUAGAUAUGCUAGUUUGAGUGGCAAAUUUUAUGCAUUUGUAAUUGUAGAUGAUUAUUCUAGAUACACAUGGGUAUUAUUCUUAGCUAAUAAGGAUGAUGCCAUUGAUGCAUUUAGAAUUUUCUGUAAAAAGGUUCAAAAUGAAAAGGGUUAUUCUAUUACUUGUAUUAGAAGUGAUCAUGGUGGAGAGUUUGAAAAUCAUGCAUUUGAAAAUUUUUGUAAUGAUUUUGGCAUUGAGCAUCAAUUUUCAUCACCUAGGACUCCACAACAAAAUGGAGUUGUUGAGAGAAAGAAUAGGUCUAUUCAAGAAAUGGCUAGGACCAUGUUAAAUGAAAAUGCAUUACCAAAAUAUUUUUGGGCCGAAGCCGUCAACACCGCUUGUUAUGUUUUAAAUCGGGUGUUGAUUAGACCUCAUCUCAAUAAAACUCCCUAUGAGCUUUGGAAAGAUAGAAAACCCAACAUUGGUUAUUUCAAAGUUUUUGGAUGCAAAUGUUUUGUUUUAAACACAAAAGAUAAUCUUGGUAAAUUUGAUCCAAAAUCUGAUGUUGGCAUCUUUCUCGGGUAUUCAAACUCAAGCAAAGCUUAUAGAGUUUAUAAUAAAAGAACUUUAGUUGUGGAAGAAUCCAUGCAUGUUACGAUUGAUGAAUCUAACCCCUCCUCUGCGGAGAAAGGAGUUGUUAAUGAUGAUGCAGAUGGAGAGUUACAAGAAGAAUCAUCAAAAGAAAAUCAAGGGGAUAGACAAGAAGAACAAACAAAUAUGGAGCUGGAGCAACAAGAAGGUAGUUCUCAAACACUCCCCAAGGAGUGGAGGUAUGUUUCCUCUCAUCCUAAAGAUUUAAUUUUAGGUGAUCCUUCAAGAGGUAUCACAACUAGAUCAUCACUUAGAAACACAUGUGAGCAUGCUGCAUUUAUUUCUCAAAUUGAACCAAAAUCUUUUGCGGAUGCGGAAAAUGAUGAGUUUUGGAUUAUGGCAAUGCAAGAGGAGUUAAAUCAAUUUGAGAGAAAUAAAGUAUGGGAAUUGGUUCCUAAACCGGAACAUCAAUCCAUUAUAGGCACUAAAUGGGUAUUUAGAAAUAAAAUGGAUGAAUCCGGUGUGGUUGUAAGAAAUAAAGCUAGAUUAGUGGCUCAAGGAUACAACCAAGAAGAAGGAAUUGAUUUCGAUGAAACUUUUGCACCUGUAGCUAGAUUAGAAUCCAUUAGGAUGUUGUUAGCAUUUGCAUGUCAUAAAGAUUUUAUUUUAUUUCAAAUGGAUGUCAAGAGUGCUUUCCUAAAUGGUUAUAUUAUGGAGGAAGUUUAUGUAAAACAACCUCCUGGUUUUGAAAAUGAGAAAUUUCCAAAUCAUGUGUAUAAGUUAGCAAAAGCAUUGUAUGGAUUAAAACAAGCACCUAGAGCAUGGUAUGAUAGGCUUAAAAAUUUCUUGUUGGAUAACGGUUUUUCGAUGGGAAGAGCGGAUACUACUCUCUUUAUUAAAAAUAAAAAUCAAGAUAUACUUGUUGUUCAAAUUUAUGUUGAUGAUAUUAUUUUUGGUUCUACUAAUGAAUCUUUGUGCAAAGAAUUUUCCUCUUGUAUGAGUAAGGAAUUUGAGAUGAGCAUGAUGGGAGAAUUGAAGUAUUUUCUUGGACUUCAAAUCAAACAAAACAAUGAGGGGAUUUUCAUCAACCAAGCGAAGUACGUCAAAGACUUGCUCAAGAGAUUUGGUAUUGAUGAAUCAAAUACCAAGAAUACUCCAAUGAGUACAACAAUCAAGCUUGAUAAAGAUGAGAAAGGUAAAGAGGUUGAUAUUAAAAAGUAUCGAGGUAUGAUCGGAUCCUUACUUUACUUAACCGCAAGUAGACCCGAUAUCAUGUUUAGUGUAUGUUUGUGUGCAAGAUUUCAAUCUUGUCCCAAGGAAUCUCAUUUGCUUGCUGUUAAAAGAAUUUUUCGUUAUUUAAGUGGAACCAUAGAUAUUGGCCUUUGGUAUCCUAGAGGAACUCAUAUAGAUUUAACUUGUUUUUCGGAUGCCGAUUUUGCUGGUCACAAGGUCGAUAGAGAGAGUACUAGUGGAACUUGUCAUUUUCUAGGUCAUUCACUUGUUUCAUGGUUUAGUAAGAAACAAAAUUCCGUGGCACUCUCAACUACUGAGGCGGAAUAUAUUGCCGCAGGAAGUUGUUGUGCACAAGCACUUUGGAUGAAACAAACACUUAGAGACUAUGGUAUUAUUCUUGAAAAAAUUCCUAUCAAGUGUGAUAAUACUAGCGCCAUAAAUCUUUCAAAGAAUCCCAUUCAACAUUCUAGGACCAAGCAUAUAGAGAUUAGACAUCAUUUCUUGAGAGAUCAUGUUCAAAAAGGUGAUAUUGCAUUAGAAUUUAUCUCUACGGAAAAACAACUUGCCGAUAUUUUUACAAAACCCCUUUGCGAAGAAUAAUUUUCAAAAAUUCGGCAUGAACUUGGGAUGAUGAAAUUUUCACAUUAACAUCUCUAUUUAUGUUAUUGAAUCUAUUAAAAUUGUUUGGAAAGAAAAUGAGUCGUUGAAAAUCCCGAGUCUGCGCAUGCUGUAAUGAAUUGGUCAUAACGUUUUCUAGAGAAUUCCAAAUCCAGCACUGUAAAAUUUAUUGGAAAGCUAAUUUAAUUAUCUUUCCAACGGUAUAUAGCUUGCAUGUUAAUUCUCGCUCAAUCAAUACAGUUUUUAUUUCGAAGUUGACAUUUCUGCAUUUUCUUAAGUUUUGAAUGCUUAUAUGCUUCAUGAUUGUAUGCUUGUUGGAUGGAUUAUUUGUUUGAGUUAAUUAUCUUUUGGAUGUUUAAAAUCAUGAAUCAUGCAUUAGAUUGGCUCUUGAGAUGUUUCGGGAUCACAAAAUGGUCACGAAAUUGAUUAAAAUUGGCCGGAAAUUAACUAAGGUGCAGCUGGACAGCAACCAGGCGGCUAGCCGCUUGGUCCAAGCGGCUAGCCGCUUGGUCCAAGCGGCUAACCGCUUGGAAAUGUCCCCCAACCCGAGAGCAAGCAGCUAGCCGCUUGCCCCCAAGCGGCUAGCCGCUUGGUCACGGGUUUGGAUGAUUUUGUUUUGCUUCUUCUUCCUCUUUCGUGAGUUUUCUGCACAUGCUUUCUCUCUCACUCAAAACUGUGAGCAACCCAUCCAUUUUCACCUCCAUUUUCUUUUUUUUUCAUCCAUUUUCAUGCCCAAAUCAACCAUUCAAACUAAUACCCAUGCAUUUCAUCUUCAUUAAACACUUCUCCAUCAUGAUUUCUUCACUUGUUCUUCAUCAUUCCAUCCUCAUUCCAUUCCCGCAUGAAUAGUGCUCUCCAUUUUCUUUCUCAAAUUUCUUCAUCUUUCACUCCUUUUCUUGUUAAAAUCAAUCAUCCAACUCAUUAUUCAUCCAUUACUCCUUCAAUUUUCACUCUCAAAACUUGAUUUCAUCAUCUCUCCACAUAAAACCCAAAAUCAAAAAUUCUCACUCUACCCGUUUCUCUCUCUUCAUUUUUCAAGCAUCCUUUAGCUCUUUUUUAAUCAUAAACUAGCUUCAUUCAUCUCUAGGAUUGAUUCUCUUGCCUCAAACAAAUCCGUUUUACUUAAACUUUGUUAAAACCCGAAAUUGCUUUUAAAGCUCUUUUUUCUUCCAACAAUGGCGGGUGGUGACAAAUCCAAGGGGAAACACGUGGCCAAGAAGCGUAAGGAUGAUCAUGGAGAUUAUUCGGACUUUAUGUUGAUUCAUUUUCCUCGACUCCAACUUCGGAAAAAUUUUCUCGACCAUUUCAAACCAAGGACGGUAAUUACUCCUCAUUUUGUCAAUCUCAAUAAUAUGAAGAAUUUAGAAAUUUGUGAUAAUUCUCUUAAAGAUUUACUUAUUGCUAUGGGAUGGAAGAAUGUGUUGGUCGUUAAUGAUCCUUACUAUGAAAAUUUAGUCAAGGUUUUCUAUUCGAAUAUGGAUACGGAUGUGUCAAAUAGAAUUGUUACUAAUGUUGGGAGAAUUCACAUUGAAUUUGAUGUUGCUUUGCUAAAUUCUAUCCUUGGCACUCCAAAUGAGGGAUUGGAAAUAUAUAGUGCUAGAGCCAAAAAUCAAACAACCUUGGUUUUCUCUUGAAAAUGCCGUUCGAAAAAUUUGUCGACGGCGUGAUUUGUCCACUGCAUUUUGUAACUCACCUUUAAAAUCUCAAGCCUUACCUCUUCAAACUCGAAUCCUUCAUUAUGUUCUCCAUCAUGUGAUUACUCCUAGGGGGGGUCAUGCAGAUGAAGUUAGUCGUUUAGAUGUAGCCACUUUGGACUGCAUUCUAGAGGAGAGGGUGCUAAAUAUUGGAUAUAUUAUUCUUAAUCAUAUGCUUAGUACUCCCAAUUUAGCCAAAAGAUCCCUUCCAUAUGCUAGUAUUAUUACUCGAAUUCUAGAGUAUUUCCAUGUCCCUAUAACCGAGUCAAUCUCCUUGAAUUCGAGGGAAUUAGGCGAUGAUUCAAUCGCUAAUCUGGGUUUUUAUUGGAGGGAUGAUAGCUGGCAUAAAGAUCAAAGAACCAAAAAGGUUACGGAACUUGCUCCUUCAGAUCAUCGUUUCUUUAACGAUGUCCGUCCCCCACACUUGCUUCGUGAUCUUAGUGCUCCAUAUCUCUCACAUCCUCCACCUUCCGAGGGUCCUUCCCACUCUACUUCAGCUGACUCUGAGGAUCCGUUGCAGCAGCUGUUAACUAAAGUGGAUUCACUUUCUGAGCGGCAAGACAGACUCCAGUCUAUGCUUGAAGCUUUUCAACUUCAGUCCAUUUCCGAGCGAGAGCGUCUCUUUGCUCAACAGCAGCAGCUUCUUGAUGGCCAGCAGCAACUUUUUGCAGCCCUUGGAUUUCCAUCCCCAUCCUCUUCCUCACAUCCACCAUCUCCUUAGUACUUUAUUUUAUUUUGUUAUUUGUCACUCUGCACUACAUUUAUUCAUGCAUUGUUGUUUUUUUUUUUUCAUUUGCGGAUGAUAUCUUGUUAUUUGAUUUUCGGAAAUGCUAUAUUUGGAUGAUGUUUUAUGCUUAAUUCUUAUGUGUUGCUUGAUGACUUGGUGGAGUUGUUGGUUUGUUUCUUAAGCUUAUAUGGAAGUGUUUUUAAUUACAUUGUGUAUUUGAAGAUUUGUUCAUUUUUAAGGGGAGACUCUGCCGAAAUUUUUGCUCGCACACAAUUGGUAAUAUCUUUCUUGAAUCAUUUUUUAUGAUCUUUUUUUUCAAUUGCAUGUUUCUAUUUUUUUUAAGAGGGUAAUAAACAUGAUGGGUUUUUUUUUUUUUCUAAUGAUAUUUUGGUUAAAUAUUUUCGGUCUUAGCAUGAAUUACUAGUAAUUUUGAUGAUGAAGGGGGAGAAGUCAUGUAUUUUGAAUAUGAAGACAUGUAAUACAUAUUUUUUGUAUUUCAAGCAUUUAUGCAUGUUUUUGAAAUAUUAAGGGGGAGCUUUCAAAUUAUAUAAAUCAAAUAUUCAGGGGGAGUUUUUGAUUUAUGUGUUUAAUCAUGUAUGCCAUGUAUUAAGGGGAAGUUUAAUAUCAAAAUACAUGAGAUGUUUGUCAUCAUCAAAAAGGGGGAGAUUGUUAGCCUAAAGGGCUACACAUAAUGUAAUUUUGAUGAUAACAAACAUGUGUCUUAAGUAAAAAUAAUAAAUAUUGUAUUUCACAUUUACACUAGUUUUUGAAGGAUAAUAUUUAUGCAAGUGAAUCAAGUGAAAUCAAGAUUGAAGACACUCAACGGACAACGGCGAAAUCAAGAAUAAAGCUUAGAGCUCAACGGACGAAUUAUUGCGAAAAAUUCUUGUAAAGCCGGUAUGAUUUAAUUGAUGCAUGAUUUAGCAUUUGAGAAGCUCAAGAAAUUAAUUUAAUUAAAUACUUUUCAUAAACUAAAAUAUUUUAUUUUUAUAAAGUAAAGUAUUUUGUGGAUUUAAGUAAAUUGGACUUAAAUGCUAAGAUUUGAAAUCUUUGAUUUUAAUAAGUAUCAAAUUUCGGAGUUGGAUGUUUUUUUCAAACAUUUUAAAUAUUUUGGGCCAUACUAUAAUUUAUGAAUAUUUUGAACUAAAGUGAAAGAUUUUGAGAACUUUGAAAAAUAUGGGUAUUAUGUUGAAAAGGACCUUUGUGCGAAACAAUAAAAUCUUUAGGGUCAUAUCAUAAUUUUAAAAAGUUUGGGAAAGACACUAUUCUUGAGAAGUUCUGAAAUUGGACCUAUUUGCAAAUUUUUCUGACAUUUUGGGCCAUAUUAUAAUUAUAGAAAGUUUUGGGCCAAAGUGUAAUUUCAAUGAACAGUGUUACUAUAGCAAAUUCAAAAAUAACGGUAAUAUUACUGUUCCUGAGCGGCUAACCGGAUAAAUCAAGCGGCUAACCGCUUGAGCGCUGGAAUUUGCCUAUAACGGCUAGUUUUUGGGCUUCCACUAUAAAAACUCAACUCAAACUUCAUUUUAAGCACCAAUACAUGCAAAUAUAAGAUCAUACAACAUAUAUUGAGCUUCCAAAACGCAAAUCAUUAUUGAUUGAAUCAUUGUUGAGCUAUUAGUUGCAUAUCAACUCUUAAAGAGAGUUUUUAUUGUAAUUUUCAUUCCUUACCAAAUUGUGAGUGUUUAAGUGUGGGAAACACUUGGGGUGAAGAGAUUGGGGAGAUAAUCUCUUGGUUGUAAAGGUUCAUUGACACCUUGGAAGUCAAUUGUAAAAACUUGAAGCCUUGGGAGGCUUAGAUAGUGAAAUCCUCGAGCUCGGUUGGCUUGGAGGCGUGGACGUAGGCGGGGAUUGCCGAACCACGUAAAAAUCCGCGUGUUUGUUUUUCUCUUCCCUUGCUCUUUUUAUUUUUACGCUUGCUUGAAUUUAUUGUUCUCUAUUUCAUUAAGGCGUUAGAUUGAUUUAUUGUGCGAAUCGUAUUGCAUUAUUUUUAAAAACUCAAUUCACCCCCCUCUUGGGUUGCGUUACUUGCAUUUCAACAAGUGUAUGAGGAUCAAAUGUCAAUACAAAAAGAGAGUGAUACAAAAAAAGAAAAUGAGAGUACAAAAGAAAGAGAGAUUAAGAUAAAAAUAAAUGGAAAGAUAAAAAAAAAUAAGAAUAUUGUUGAGAGAAAAGAAAAGCAGCAAGUGAAUUUGUUUACAAAAGAGAGCGAGGUUAAGAGGGCUUUCUUUUCAAAACAGCCUCUCAUUGUACUUUUGUGCAAAGAGGCUUGUUUACAUACUAAUGAGCUUAACUCUUCUUUGCCUUGUGCUAUUGUGACUUUUUGCAGGACUUUAAAUAUGUGUUUCUAAAUGAAGUUCCUAAUGGUUUGCCACCUAUUAGGAGAAUUGAGCAUCAAAUAGACUUUAUCCUUAGAGCUAACAUUCCUAAUAGGCCCGCCUAUAAAAGUAACCCCGAGGAGACAAAUGAGCUUCAAAGGCAAGUUAAAGAACUUUUGGCAAAGGGAUAUGUGAGAGAGAGCAUGAGUCCAUGUGCGAUACCAGUUCUACUAGUGCCCAAAAAGGAUGAAACAUGUAUGAUGUGCGUUGACUGUCGUGCAAUCAAUAAAACCACCGCAAAAUAUAGACAUCUUAUUCCUAGACAUGAUGAUAUGCUUUAUGAAUUGCAUGGUUCUUGUGUGUUUAGUAAAAUUGACCUUAAAAGUGGAUAUCAUUAGAUUAGAAUUAGAGAGGGACAUGAGUGAAAAACUGCCUGUAAAACAAAAUAUGGUUUAUAUGAGUGGUUAGUGAUGCCAUUUGAGUUAUCUAAUGCUCCUAGCACUUUUAUGAGGUUAAUGAACCAUGUUUUGCGUGCUUUUAUUGGUAAGUUUAUAGUUGUCUAUUUUAAUGAUAUUUUUAUCUAUAGUAAAAGCUUAGAUGAACACAUUGAACAUUUGUAAAGUGUAUUGACUGUUUUAAAGAAGGAAAAGUUGUAUGCUAAUUUAAAGAAAUGUCCUUUUUGUACAAGUCAUAUUGUUUUUCUUGGUUAUGUUGUAAGUGCUAAAGGAAUUAAGGUUGAUGAAGAAAAGGUAAAAGCUAUUAAAAAAUGCCUUACACCCAAAAAUGUAAGUGAGGUAAGAAAUUUUAAUGGUUUGUCUAGUUUUUAUAGAAGAUUUGUGAAAGAUUUUAGCACCCUUGCUGCACCAUUAACUGAAAUUAUGAUGAAACAUGUGGGAUUUAAAUGGAGUAGUGAACAAGAAAGGGCAUUUAAUCUGAUCAAGGAGAAAUUGGUUUCUGCACCAUUACUUGUUUUACCUGAUUUUGCUAAAACUUUUGAAUUGAGUAUGAUGCUUCAGGUAUAGGUAUUGGAGCUGUUUUAAUGCAAGAAGGGUGUCUAAUUGCAUAUUUUAAUGAGAAAUUGAGUGGAGCAACCCUAAACUAUCCUACUUAUAACAAGGAGAUGUAUGUAUUGGUAAGAGCAUUGGAAACUUGGCAGCACUUUCUUCUACCUCAAGAGUUCGUUACAACAAUGGGUGAUUUACAAGAUAUGAGGAAUUUGAACCUCCGAGGAGAAAUACAACUAGUUAAGGCACAAGGAGGUUAAGGUGGUCAGAAUAGGUAGAUUAUUUAUAGGUAACCAGCAAAUAACAACAUUAUCCAUAUGGCAAAUGAUAAAGACAAAGCCAUUAGAGAUCAUGCAAUGGUGACUCCUCAAGCCAUAAACCCUUAAAUAGUUAGACCCGAAGUGUAGGCUAAUAACUUUGAGUUUAAACAAGUGAUGUUUCAGAUGCUUCAAAAAGUGGGGCAAUUUAAUCGACUGGCAUCAGAAGAUCUUCACCUUCAACUUAAGUUAUUUUUUGAAGUAAGUGAUGCUUUCAAGAUUACUAGAGCAUCACAAGAAGCAUUGAGGCUCUUACUUUUCCCAUUUUCUUUAAGGGAUCGAGCUGUCUCUAAAAGGGGAAUAGAUGUAGACAAGGCAAAAAUAGAGGUGAUUGAUUAACUUCCACCAACUACUCCAGUAAAGGGUAUUAUGAGUUUCCUAGAACAUGCUGGGUUCUAUAAAAGAUUCAUUAAGAACUUUUCCAAAAUAGCCAAACCCUUACGCAUGUUGUUGGAACAUGUUAGACCUUUCAAUUUUAAUGAAGGUUGUUGAAAGGCUUUUAUUGAGUUGAACAAAGCUCUUAUUACAGUACCAGUUGUUAUAGCACCAGAUUGGAGUAUGCCUUUUAAAUUGAUGUGUGAUGUUAGUGACCAUUCUGUUAAAACAGUGCUAAGGCAAAUGAAAUGCAAGAUUUUUCACUCCAUUUAUUAUGCCAGCAAGACCUUAGUUAAUGGACAACUAAACUAUACUACCACUGAAAAAGAGUUGGUUGGCAAUUGUUUUUGCAUGUGAUAAAUUCAUAGCUUAUUUUAUUGGCACUAAAGUGACUAUUUCUAUAAAUCGCUCGGCUAUAAAGUAUUUGAUUUCAAAGCAGGAUGCCAAAACAAGAUUGAUUAGGUGGAUCCAAUUGCUACAAAAGUUUGACUUGGAGAUUAUAGACAGAAAAAGCACUGAGAAUCAAGUAGGAUACCAUCUUUCAAAGCUGAAAGCAGAUGAAAGCACUCUAACUAAGGAGGAUAUCACAGAAACAUUUCUUGAUGAGAAACUGUUAAUGUUACAACACUCUCAGAUGUUGCAGCAAUUGGGAUUCCCAUGGUAUGCAAAUUUUGCUAAUUAUUUAGUGAGUGGACUAUUACCAUAUAUUUAAAUUACCAGCAGAAAAAGAAGUUUCUUCAUGUUGUAAAAAGUUAUCAGUAGGAUGAUCCUUACUUAGACAAGAUGUGGUCAGACUAUAUAAUCAGAAUAUGUGUACCAGAUAAAGAAAUUUCAAACAUCCUGUAGUCCUAUCAUGCUGCCGCAUAUGGAGGACACUUUGGAGGGCACAAAACAACAGUAAAAGUCCUUCAAUCAAGUUACCACUGGCCCUUUAUUUUUAAAGAUGCUUAUGAGUUUGUUAAAUGUUGUGACAUGUGUCAAAUAAUAGGAAACAUCUCUCAAACUUUUUUUAUGUAUGGGGGAUAGAUUUUAUGGAACUAUUCCCACCCUCUUUCGGCAAUCUAUACAUCCUAGUAAUUAUAAACUAAGUCUCCAAAUGGAUGGAAGCUGUAACAUUGCUAACUAAUGAUGCCAAGGCAGUGGUGAAGUUCCUUUAAGAGCCAUUAUUAGCAAUGAAGGCACACAUUUUUACAACAGAACAUUUUCUGCGGCAUUGUCUAAAUAUAGAAUCAAGCAUAAGAUUGCUACAACACAUCAUCCACAAACAAGUGGCCAGGCAGAGGUAUCCAAUAGGGAGAUAAAGAAGAUUUUGGAGAAAGUUGUGAACCCUAACAGAAAGGAUUGGUCACAUAGAUUAAAUGAUUCUUUAUGGACUUAUAGAAUAGCCUAUAAAACUCCACUUGGCAUGUCCUCAUACAGAAUUGUUUAUGGAAAAGUUUGUCACUUCCCAUUGGAGCUGGAGCACAAAGCAUACUGGGCAAUCAAGCAAUUGAAUAUGGAUAUGACUGCUGCAACAGAGCAAAGAAAAUUACAACUUUGUGUGCUAGAGAAGUUUAUGCAAGAAUUUAUAAGGAAAAGACCAAACAAUGGCAUGACCAAGGAAUCCAACAAAGGGAACUCAUUCCAGGCAAUCAAGUCUUGCUUUAUAACUCGAGAUUAAAGUUCUUUCUUGAAAAAAUAAAAUCUAGAUGGUCAGGACCUUUCAAGCUUGUUAAAGUACAUCCUCAUGAGACUGUUGAACUUCUACAUGAAAGAACAUGUCAAGAAUUCUAGGUGAAUGGGCAUAGAGUGACAUAUUAUAUAGGAGCUGCUGUGAAUCACCUAAGGGAGGACCUAUUCCUAUGGAAUCCAACAUGAGCAAGCAGGGAUGGUCUAGUUGAAGGACUUAAAAUCAAGCAUUAAUUGGGAGACAACCCAAUGAUUAGAGGAGUUAUUUUAAUUUUUACUUCAACAUUAAGUCUAAUUUUGCAUAUUUUAUUUACGAUUUUUGUUAUUUUAAAUCGAUUAUUUAAUUUUUUUUAAUUUAUUAUAGCAUAUAUAUAUAUAUAUAUAUAUAAGGGCAAAGAAACUGACAUGAGUUGCUACAGCACCACAAGCAAUAUGAUAAUUAGAAAGUUGUUCUCAUCCAACAAGGGAAUUUAUUGCAGUUGCUAUAGCACUGAAUUAAUUGCUGCAGCAUCGAUUUUACCGUUGCAUUGAACAAACUGAGGAAAUUUUUACCGUGGGAGUUUGUCAAGCUAGCAUCAAUAGAUCAUAGUUGCAGCUAAGGAAAGAUUGUGCAAUCCUUAAAUUACUGUGAUAAAUAUCCUUUCCUUUUUAAUUUAGAUUUUUAAAAAAAAAAUUCAAAUAUUCUUUCUAACUUAUCCUUUUAAUUACCUUCCUUUUUCUAUUUUGUCGCCAACUAUAAAUUAGGGAUUUAAUGUAGCGUCUUUCACUCUCACCAUAAUUCUUUCUCUUCCCCUCGAUAACUCUCAGUAUUAUUUGCAAUUCCUUUUAUGAUUUACUUCUUUUUUAGGUGAUAUACAAUUAUGUUUAAUUUGCUACGGUAAUGACGAAGUUCAAGACAAGAGCUACUCGAUUGAAGGACCCUUCAUGCUUCCAUAACUAUAAAGUAGAAGAAAUAUUUGAGGAAUUUAUAGAGCCACGGAAACUUUUAGAGGAGAAGGGCUUUAUCAUCCUAAAUCAACCAACAGGCGUAAUGAGCAGCAUCCAUAUUGCGGCAGCCAUGAGAGGUUGGGUAAAAUUUUGCUCAUCACCCUCAAAACCCAAUUGUUCUAGUUGUUAAAGAAUUCUACUCCAAUAUGAAAAACUAACUAGGCAAUCCAAGAGGGGGUGAAUUGGGUUUUUAAAAAUUAAGUUAAGCAAACCACACACAAAUCCAAUCUAAUGCCUUAAUAAAUUCAAAAACAAUAAAUUCAAUGAAAGCACAAUAAUAAAUGAGCAAGGGAAGAGAAAGCAAACUCAAGGAUUUUUACGUGGUUCGGCAAUCCUCGCCUACGUCCACGCCUCCAAGCACACCGGGCUUGAGGAUUUCACUAUCCAAGCCUUUCCAAGGCUUCAAACGUUUACAAUUGACUUCAAGGUGUCAAUGAACCUUUACAACAAGAGAUUAUCUCUCCAAUCUCUUCACUCCAAGUGUUUCUCACACUUGUACACUCACAAUUUGAUGAGAAAUGAAAAAUACAACAAUGAAUCUCUCUUUAAGAGUGGAUAUAUAAAUUGAAGAACAAAGAUGAUUUAAUAAAUGAUGAGUUACGAAAUUAAAGCUCAAUAUAUGUUGUGUGCACUUGUUCUUGCUUGCUUAGAUUACCAAAAAUGAUUUGGUUUUGAGUUUAUAUAGUUUGAGCUCAAAAACUAGCAUUUAUGCACAUUUUGGUCAUAACCGGAUUGCCAGUUAUGGACAUCCGAUUAGCCGCUUAAUGUUACCGUUACAGUCACAAUUUUAAAUUUCUGAACAUCCGGUAUUCCGCUUUGUCAAAUCCAGAUUGCCGCUUAUGCUCAUAAGCUUACUGCCCAACAACCGGAUUUCCAUUUGUCAGGAUCCGGUUAGCCACUUACUACAGUAACUGCUACAGUAAAAUAUUUUCUAAUUUUAUAGUUUGACCCCAAAACUUUAUAAAACUGUAUUAUGGCCCAAAACGUUAUGAAACUUUGCAAAUAGGUCCAAUUUUAGAAUUUUUAAAUAAUACUUUGUUAAUCCCAAAACUUUUUGAAAUUAUAAUAUAACCCAAAAUGCUAUGACACUUUUCAAAUAAGUCCUUCACCAAAAUUUCAAGUAAUAUUUGUUGAUUUCAAAGUUUUCAAAAAUCUUUCAAUUUAAACCAUAAAGUUGAAAAACAACUAAUUUCAUGAAAUCAUUUUUCCAUUAAAUAUGAAACCUUUAUAAUGUAAAAAUAAUGAUUUAUUUAAAAAGAAUAAAAAUAACCAAUUUCUUAAAAUCAUUUUUCCAUUAAAUAUGAAAUAUUUAUAAUGUGAAAAUAGUGAUUUAUUUAAAAUAUAUAAAAAAUAAUUUGAGCUUAAAAGAUUAAUCAUUCUUAAUCUUAUUUGUUAUCAUCAAAAUCAAUAUUAUGAAAACAUAUAUGUUAACACAAUAUGCUACAGUAGGAUCAGCACAAUAUUUUUGUAAGGCAAGCCUUUAGACUCUAGAGUUAUUAAUGCCUUCUAUGAUUUACCCACUGCUAUUGAAUAUGAAUAUACUCAAUUUGCUGAGAAUAUGACCGUUAAGAAAUGGGGGGAAGUGUUCAAAACCUUAACUGUCCUAGGUAGUGCAUGGAUGAACAAAGAAGGGUAAGUGGUUAGUAGAAUCGAUUUGAAACCUAUUGCCAAAGUUUAGGUCAAGUUUUUAAAAUCUCGAUUAAUAUCAACUACCCACACUACCACAGUUUCUCAAGACAGGCCCAUCCUCUUUUGUACUAUAGUUAAAGGUUUCAAUAUAGAUGUAGGCAAGAUCAUUGAAAGGGAAAUCAAAGAUUAUGUUAUGAAAAAGCAAAAAUCAGUUGCAUUACAAUUUCCUUCUCUUAUCACAGGAAUAUGUGAAGCCUCAGGAGUGCAAUUUGAGGACAGUGAUGAGCAAAUAAAGAAUGAAGGAGCCAUUACCGUGAGGACAAUUGAGAGAAUUGCUGAAGAGUCUACAGCUAUAGCAGGCCUAGGACACCUAGCUAUAACAAGAAAAAAAGGCUACAAGGAUCAAGAAUAUACUUCAAGCCCUUUGUGAGGCGUGCAAGCAAGUGUCCAAAGCCCAAAUGAAAGAGAAUAAGAGAUUUUGACUUAUUUACAAUAUCUUGAAGCACAAAAACAUCAAUUUUCCCUGUACAUGAAGAGUAAAGAUACAGACUUCCCAGACUCGUUGCUACAACAAUUUAAUUUUGAAGAAGGUAAGAAAGUUGUUGCAGCAUAAGGGAGUGAAGAUAAAGAGGAUGAAGCUGGGGAAGAACAGUAGCCAGAACAAGAGGAUGAAUGAGAAUUUGAAGAUGAAAAGACUGAAGUAGAGGAAGAAGAGGAGAAGAAAGAGAAAGAAAAUGAAGAAGAGUUGCUCAAACAUAGGAAGUAAGAAUCAAUCUGAGAGACCUCAUUGCUUGUAUUACUGCUGAGAAACCAGUUGCAGCAAAUCAUCCUGCCCUAGCUGCUACACAACAAACCCCCAACAAAAUUGAAAUAAAAUUUAUGCAACCCAAGAAGAGGGGUGAAUUGGGAUUUUAAAAUUAUGCAAUACAAUUCGCACAACAAUUUAAUCUAUUGCCUUAAUCAAAUCAAAAACAAUAAAUUCAAUCAAGCACAAUAUUAAAAGAGUAAGGGAAGAUAAAACAAACACAAGGAUUUUUACGUGGUUCGGCUAUCCCCGCCUACGUCCACGCCUCCAAGCACACCCGGCUUGAGGAUUUCACUAUCCAAGCCUCCCAAGGUUUCAAAUGUUUACAAUUGACUUUCAAGGUGUCAAUAGACCUUUACAACAAGAGACUAUCUCUCCAAUCUCUUCACCCCAAGUGUUCCUCACACUUGUACACUCAUAAUUUAAUGAGAAAUGAAAAUCACAACAAUGAAACUCUCUACAAAAGUAGAUAACAAAUUAUAACUCAAUAAUAAUUCAAUAAAUGAUGAUUUGCAAAAUGGAAGCUCAAUAUAUGUUAUAUGAUCUUAUUUAUGCUUGCAAUAGUUCUUAAAAUGAAGUUGGAGUUGAGUUUUUAUAAUUAAAGCCCGAAAACUAGCCGUUAUAGGCAAAUUCCAGUGCCCAAGCGGUUAGCUGCUCAUGAACAGUGAUAUUACCGUUAUUUUUUAAUUUUGCUACAGUAACAUUGUUCACUAAAAUUACACUUUGACCCAAAACUUUCUAUAAUUAUACUAUAACUCCAAACGUCAUAAAACUUUACAAAUAUGUCCAAUUUCAGAAUUUCUUAAUAAUAGUUAUCUUUCCAAAACUUUCUGAAAUUAUGAUAUGGCCCCAAAGAUAUUAUUCUUUCGCAAAAAGGUCUUUUUCAACAUAAUACCCAUAUUUUUCAAAGUUCUCAAAAUCUUUCACUUUAGUCCAAAAUAUUCAUAAAUUAUAGUAUGGCCCAAAACAUUUCAAAUGUUUGUAAAAAGGUCCAACUCUGAAAUUCAAGAAUAAUACUUAUUAAAAUCAAAGAUUUCAAAACUGUGCAUUUAAGUCCAAAUUACUCAAAAUCACAAAGUACUUUAUCUUAUAAAAAUAAAACCUUUUAGUUUAUAAAAAGUAAUUAAUUAACUUAAUCUCUUGAGCUUCUCAAAUGCUAAAUCAUGUAUCAAUUAAAUCAUACCGGCUUUACAAGAAUUUAUCGCACUAAUUUGUCCGUUGAGCUCUAAACUUUAUUCUUGAUUUCGCCAUUGUCCGUUGAGUGUCUUGAGCUUGAUUUCACUUGAUUCACUUGCAUAAAUAUUACCCUUCAAAAACUAGUAAAAAUGUGAAAUACAAUAUUUAUUAAAUCACUUAAUACAUAUGUUUGUUAUCAUCAAAAUUACAGUAUGUAUAGCCCUUUAGACUAACAAAAAUCUCCUGUCACAGCUCCCAGGGUCUCCAGUAAACGCAAUGGGGCACAACCCUCUGGAGGUGCUACAGCACUAAAAGAGUCAGAGCACAAGCCAUAAUUCCAAUAGGCUCAAAACCCCAAACCCAAAAUGCUUUUGUUAGUUAACACAAAGAAAUUGCUAUGAAAUCCAAUUACAGCCAAAAAAAAAAUUCUGACACUUUAAUUAGUGUUUAACCAAAUUAGUAUAGCGAUUGAAGGUUAUUAGUGUCUAAUCAAAUUAGUAUAACUAUUGAAGCCAAAGCUUACAAGGAUGACAAAGUUGAAAUCUUUUUUUGAAAAUCUAAGCCCUGAAAUUAAUUUCCAAAAGCUCUGACAGUGGGGUGAUAUAAAAAUUGGUCAAUGUAGCUGAGCUACUCUAGACCAACGAUCAAGAGCAAGCGUGCGUCUCCUAUUAGAAUCAUCCAAAGCUAAAACAGGCAAACCAGCAAUUAAACCUGCUAAAUAUCCACUCCAAUCAUAUAUUCCCUCGAGCAAAAUUUAAAAAAAAAAGAACAAAUUCAAAGCAGAUGGGUAGGAGAACUUACACGUUGAAUAGAGUCUCUUUCUUUCGGAAUUUUCUUAACAUAAAUCUAAGCAAAUGAUAGGGUCCAGUAAUUAAAAAGAGGUAAAAUUAAUAACAUAUAAUUGGUUAGAGAUAAAUUCAAGAGCAAGGGAAAUCAAAACAUUGUAGGAGCCAAAAAGAUACCCAAUCUAGAAGAUAAAAUUUAUCCUCAUUUGUCCUGCAAAUAACGUUGCUUCUCCCGCUAGCAAUUUCCAAAGCAACAAUUCCGAAACUGCAAAAUCACAAAUUUGAAUAUUAUAUUAACGUUUCAUGAAAAUUUAAAAAAAAUAUUUAUGAGAAAUUAUUAUGCAUCAAUCCACAGAGUUCCUGCAAUUCGGGUGCUUAGGUGGACCGGUGUUGUCUUUGCGAGGAAAUAAGCUACUGGUUAACUAAUGGUCGUUGGGUUUAAAUGGAAGAUUUGAAGAAGUCUGGGGGCAUUGUGCAGAUCGACUUCAGCUUGAGGGGUCUAGUUGAAAUGUUAAAGCUGAUGUGGCAGAAUUCGUUAGUAGUUCGCUAUGAUUCCCAGAAAUACCAGAAUAUAAAUACGUGUGUUUUAGCCUCUGAUAUGGCAUUGUAAUCUUCUUCAUUUCUUAGUCAUUUAAUUAGCUAUUUGGUUCUUUAUGAUCCUUGUAACCUCCUCUAUAGAAUCAGCUUGUAAUUCGAUUAAUGGAGAUCAAUAAAAGAGUAGUUUUUCCUUCUACAAGUUGAGUGCUUGAAACUGUGCUCUGUUCAAGUUCUUUUCUGUUUCUUUCUUAAUUAGCUUGCUUUGAUUAGUUCUUUCUAGAUUCAAUAGGUUAUAACAGUCUUCUUCAUCAAGCAUACCAUACCGAAGUGGGAUUUGUUAGGGUGAUUUUACAUGCAUGCAUUUCUAAUCUCGCGUACAGCAACAAAAAUGUCAAGUAAUUCAUUCUUGUUUAUUAAGGUCUAGAAUCAGCGCUGGAAGAAGAUGAUCUUGGGGAUGCUUCAAGUUCAGUCUCUCAUGAGAAGAAAAGACAUUCUUCUUUUAACAUAACCAAAUAUAUUAAAAAGAAAAAAUGCAAUUCUUUCUUAUGGAGGUUCAACAGUAAACGAUCUUUAAACUGUUUCUUAUUUUCUCAUUGCUUAAUGCUGACUAGUCCAGUGGCGGACCUGUAGCCCAGUCUAGCCAAAAAAAAAAUUAAAAAGUUAUUCAAAACUUACAGAAUUGCCAUUAAAUACAUAAAAUAAUAUUCACUUUUACCUAUUCCUCUUUACGUUUCCCUGCUUCCCCUUUUGCAUCUAUCCAGCGGCAACAAUACAAAUCCUUCACUCCCGUGGCUGUGGUGGUCCUUUGCUUUACUUCUUUUCGGCUCAAGCACUUUCCAUUCAAUUUUUAAUAGGUAAAAAUCACAUCUUAUUUUAAUUUAUGACAGUUCCCUCCCUCGUUUACAAGUAUGAAUUAAUUUAUUACAGCUCUCUCUCUCUCUCCUUUACAAGCAUGUGUGAAAUCAAAGCAUCUUUUCUAUGAUUCUCUUUCUUGCAAUAAUUAGGUAUAAAGUAUAAACAACUAAAUAAAUAUCAACAAUUGAGAUUUGGGUAAUAAUGUUUUGGUGAUUGUUGAUUUGUUAGUUACUAUAUAAUUCUGAUUGGUGGUUGGCAUCACUAUAUUAGAAUGAGUAGAUAAUAAAUUGUAUAAUAAAUAAAUAAAUUUGUUUAUUGAACUUCCCCAUUUGAUUAAAUUAACUCAAAUCUCACUGUUUAUUUAUUAAUAUUUUUUAUUAUUCUAAUAUUUUACAAAUCUUUUUUCAAAAAUUUGAUAGGCAUGGGUAUUUGUAUUAAUCAUAUAUUGUCUUAUAUGAGCUUUAAACGUUGAUUUUUUUAUUUCACGACUUUAAAUAUAUUUAAAAUUAGUAGAAUAUAUAGUUUAUAACACUUUUAAUGAUUUCUUGAUUCUCACACAAUUACAUGUUGUUAUAGGUUGUAUGUCAAACAACAAAUUCAAACCAAGGAAAACUCUUCUUUUAUUCUUUACUAAAGUAAAUGAUGGUCAAUCAUCAAAUGGGACAAGUUUUAUGUGCAACAUUGAUGCCUCAAAUUCUCCACCUAAGUCUCAAAGAGUCGAAUUUGAGAAAGUUGAUACUCCAUCCACUAUUGACACGCCUUAUUUAGAAUGUGAUCCCGAAUUGUAUUUUUCAAUAAGUGCUUUUUGUUAACAUAUAUGUUUUCAUAAUAUUGAUUUUGAUGAUAACAAACAAGAUUAAGAAUGAUUAAUCUUUUAAGCCCAAAUUAUUUAAUAUUCUUUUUAAAUAAAUCAUUAUUUUUACAUUCUAAAUGUUUCAUAUUUAAUGGAAAAAUGAUUUUAUGAAAUUGGUUGUUUUUCAAAGUUUAUGGUUUAAUUGAAAGAAUUUUGAAAACUUUGAAAUAAACAAGUAUUGCUUGAAAUUUUGGUGAAGGACUUAUUUGAAAAGUGUCAUAGCAUUUUUGGCUAUAUUAUAAUUUCAUAAAGUUUUGGGAUUGACAUAGCAUUACUUAGAAAUUCUGAAAUUGGACCUAUUUGUAAAGUUUCAUAACGUUUUAGGCCUUAAUACAGUUUUAUAAAGUUUUGGGGUCAAACUAUAAUUUUAAAAAAUAAUGCACUGGACAAGUUACUAUAGCAUCUGGCUUACCAGAUAUAAAAACUGAAAAACCGAAUAUUGGGCAGAAUGUAUCCAGAACGUAAACGGCUUACCGGAUUUCGUAACCAGCAAGCCGGAUAGGCAAAAUUAAAAUUUUUGCCUUAACGGUAACAUAAAUUCGGCUUACCGGAUUCCAUAAACGUCAAACCGGAGACGCCCAGAAUGUGCAUAACAGCUAGUUUUUGAGUUCAAACUAUAUAAACUCAAAACCAAUUCAUUUUUUGUAAAUCCAAGCAAGCAAGAACAAGUGCACACAACAUAUAUUGAGCUUCAAUUUCGUAACUCAUCAUUUAUUAAAUCAUCUUUGUUCUUCAAUUUGUAUAUCCACUCUUAAAGAGAGAUUCAUUGUUGUAUUUUUCAUUUCUCAUCAAAUUGUGAGUGUACAAGUGUGAGAAACACUUGGAGUGAAGAGAUUGGAGAGAUAAUCUCUUGUUGUAAAGGUUCAUUGACACAUUGAAGUCAAUUGUAAACGUUUGAAGCCUUGGAAAGGCUUGGAUAGUGAAAUCCUCAAGCCCGGUGUGCUUGGAGGUACGGACGUAGGCGGGGAUUGCCGAACCACGUAAAAAUCCUUGAGUUUGCUUUCUCUUCCCUUGCUCAUUUAUUAUUGUGCUUUCAUUGAAUUUAUUGUUUUCGAAUUUAUUAAGGCAUUAGAUUGGGUUUGUGUGUGGUUUGCUUAGCUUAAUUUUUAAAAACCCAAUUCACCCCCCUCUUGGAUUGCCUAGUUAGUAUUUCAUUUGGUAUCAGAGCGAGGUGCUCUUGUGUAGACUUAACCGUCUAGAGUUAAAAAUCCAUGGCAACCCAUAAUGACUCAAUCUUUAGGGAAGGACAAUCCAUAAUUAGACCACCGUUCUUUGACGGUAAUGACUACCCAUAUUGGAAAACUAGGAUGAGAAUUUAUUUACAAGCUUUAGAUUAUGAAAUUUGGGAAAUUGUAUGUGAUGGUCCAUUUAUGCCUUUGACUAAAAACGAAGUCGGGGAAGAUAUUCCAAAACCUUCACGGGAAUGGAAUGAAUUGGAAAAGAGAAAAGCUACUCUAAAUUCCAAAACUAUGAAUGCCUUGUUUUGUGCAUUAGAUAAGAAAGAAUUUCAUAGAGUAUCUAGUUGUAAGAGUGCUAAUGAAAUUUGGCACAAACUUGAAGUUGUUUAUGAAGGCACAAAUCAAGUGAAAGAGUCUAAAAUUAGUAGGUACACUCGGCAAUAUGAAUUGUUCCAAAUGGAACAAAAUGAGAGUAUGUAUUAUAUGUAUACUAGAUUUACGGAUAUAGUGAACACUCUAGGAGCCCUAGAAAAGACUUUUUCAAAUAGCGAGAAGGUUAAGAAAAUUAUUAGGUCACUACCUAAGGAAUGGAGACCAAAAAGGACUGCCAUUGAGGAAGCCAAGGAUUUAAAUAUCUUACCUAUUGAUGAUUUAAUUGGUUCUCUUAUUUCUUAUGAGGAAGACUUGGUAGCCGAAAGAGGCAAUGAGGAGAAGAAGAAAAACAUUACUCUCAAAGCCUCGAAACAGGAGAGUGAUGAGGAAAGUGAGCUGGAUGAGGAAGAGAUGGAUAUGCUGGCUAGGAGGUUCAGAAAACUUUUUAAGAAAUCCGGUGAGCGAAGAAAAUUUAGAGAACUCAAGAACCGAAAGGAGAAGAAGGAAUUAAUCAAAUGUUAUAAGUGCAAGAAGCUUGGCCAUAGAAGAAUGGAAUGCCCUCUUCUCAACAAGCUCAAGAAGAAAGCAAUGGUAGCCACAUGGGAUGAUAGCGAUGAGGAAAUAAGUAAUGAUGAAGAGCAUCAAGAAAUGACAAAUCUAGCUCUCAUGGCAAUUGGAGAUGAAUCGGAUGAUGAACUUAAUGAGGUAAAUGAUUUUUUUACUUAUGAUGAAUUAUAUGAUGCUUUUAAAGAAUUGCAUGAUAAUUGGAUAAAAAUUGGUAAAAAGAAUGCAUGUCUUAAAAAGAAAAUGGUAGAGCUCAAAAAUGAAAAUGAAUCUCUAUGUCCAAAGAUUACAUGCCUAGAAUUAGAGAAUAAAACAUUGCAUGAUAGAGUUGCAUUAUCAAAUGAGAAAUCUAGCACUUCACAUGAGCAUCUAAAAUAUCACAUAGAUGACUUGAAAAAGGAAAAUGAAAUGCUUAAAAAGAAGAGCAAUGAAUUAAAUGAGAUUGUCUUAAAAUUUACAAAUGGGCAAAAGAUGUUGGAUAACUUGAUUAAUUCACAAAAAUGUGUGUUUGAUAAAGGAGGACUUGGUUAUAAGCCAAAUUUGAAACAAAAGUAUUAUAAGAACUACUUUGUGAAGAGUACAUCUAUUAACAAUCAAGUUGUAUGUCAUUAUUGUAAUCAAAACGGUCACAUGAAGCUUGGUUGUCCUAUUAAAAGAAAAGUAUAUUAUGGAGUAAAAUGUGUUUGGGUUCCAAAAGGAACCAUUGCUAACACUCAAGGACCCAAGAGCAUUUGGGUACCAAAGGGCACAACUUGAAUAUUCUUUUGUAGGUACCACAAACAAGGAAUGGUGGAGAGUUCCUUGAUGAAGCUUGUGAGGAUAAUCAUUUGAGCAUGAUCUAGAAGAAAAAGAUGAGGCAAGAUGAUUUAAUUGUUUUGAUAAUAAUUCUUGCCAUAUUAAUUUUGUUGAAUGGAUCAUGAUAAAUGGAUAAUAGAUUGAAUUUGUGAAAGUAUACUUGUAUGUUUACAUGAUAGAAUUAUCAUUGUGUUUAACAUUGAGUGCUUUAUCAUGAUGCAUGGUUAUAUAUAUAAGAUAAUAGCUUGUCAACUCAUCAUGAUAGCUUUGUUUGAUUUUGAUGAUUAUAUAAUGCCUAAGCUUGAUAAAUGAGUGAUAUGCUUGAAUUAUUAAUCUUUGAAUGCUUAUAUGUUUCAUGAUUGUGUAAAAUAUAUACAUGAUAAAUGAAUUAUAUGUGUGAAUUCUUGUGCCGUUAAUUGUGUUAUAUCAUCAUUCACUUAUAAAAUUGACAUCAUUGUUUGAUACGAUUUCAUAUGUUUGGUCUUGUAUGCAGUUAUGUCUCAUGCAUUAAAUGGCUUAUUGAAAAGUUUUAAAUCUCAAAAUGAUUUAAAAUUAAUCAAUUUUUAAGGCCGGAAAUAAAAUGGUGUGUGUAGUACAAGUAUAAGAGGUAGCAAAUAUUCCCUUUCCAUUCAUCCGGAAAAACAUUUUUUCUUAUUGAUUUCUCUCGGGACAAAUUCCGGAUAACCAGAUUUUCAAUCCGAAAAACCGGAUUAGCUUUGGUUGCUCUCUGGACAACAUUCGGAUAAUCGGUUUCUCAAUCCGGAAAAUCGGAUUUGCUAAGCAUCCUCUCUGCCUCAUAAUCGGUCUACCGGUUCUUCUAAUCCAAAAAACCGGAUGCAUUUUGAAUGCUCACUACCUCGCAACCAGCCUACCGGCUCUCGAAAACCGGCAAGCCGAAUUCGCGUGAUUGGAUUUGUUGAAACACAACCAGAUUUCCGGUUAAAGGCAUUCGGCAAGCCAUUUAUGGGCUUCACGUUUCUGCCCAAUAACCAGCCAGCCGGUUAGGAAAUCCGGCAAGCCGGAUUCGGGUGCUAUUUCAAUUAUUCAUCUUCUCCCUCUCUUUCGGCAUUCCGGUUCUCUCUCUCUCACUAAAAGCCGAUUACUCCUCACUUGAUUUCAUUCCAAAAUCCAUCAUUCUCAUUCGUUUUCAAUCCAAAUUGAUUCAUAUAAAUUAUUCCCCAUCCAUUCUUGUGUCUAAAAUCAUUUUAAUUGAUUCAAACUUACCAAUUUUACUCAAUAUCUUGAAAAUUCGAAUUUGUGCAUUUUGAGUAUUUCAAAUUACCACUUCCAUAGUGUGCUCUCCUUAUGGAUUUUACCAUAGUUUUCUAUUAAAUUAUGCACUUACAUUUUCAUAUGCCUUGUUGCUUUCAUUGUGGAUUGAUGAUGAUUAUUGUUUGCUAUUUGGAUAAUGUGGAACUAAUGUGCUUAUCUUGACUUUUUGAUGAUCAAGAGGGAGAUAUGAGAUGUAAGGGAGAAAUACAUCUACUUUGAGAUUCUUAAGCAUAUGUUGAUUUUGAUGAUCUAUAUAUUGCUAUUAUAUACUUAUGCUUUACUUAAGUUUUGAUGAUAAAAAAUGUGCUUUAAUGAUUCCAUUGUAUUUGAUGAAAUUUGAUCUUAUGGAAUCUAUGAUUGGUGAAUGGAUACAUUUUUUUUUUGUGCUUUCUUGACGCAUUGUUGAAUAUGCCUUACUUGUUUUAAAUGAUAUCGAAAAAAAAAAGGGGGGAUAUACAUAUACUUCGAGAAUUUUAAGCAUAUAAGAUUUUUUAAGUUAUAUUGAAAUGUCACAUUAGAUCUUUGAUGAGUUUAGUUGUCUUGAUUUAUAAAAUGUGAUUGGUAAUUAUGGAGCUUGGAUAGUUGAUAAUAUGCAUGCCAAUUUGGUAAAGAAAUCAAAACCUCUUUGCGAAGAGCAAUUUUCAAAAAUUCGGUAUAAACUUGGGAUGAUUUGAUUUCUUGAUGAUUUUGAUGAUUGAUGAUUAUAUGUGCGUUGCUUGUUGAAUUGAAGGAGUUGUUGAUUUGAUAAUUAAUGGAAUAAUAGUUCAUGAUCAUUUUAUGGUUGAUGGAUUAUAUGAUGAUGAUAAUUUGUGAGUAAUAUUACUAAAUUUGUAUUUGAAGUGAUACUUGUUGUUAGGGGGAGAUUCUUUCAAAAUUUCUACUCAAACAACAUGGGUAACAAAUUUGCUACUUUUAUUCUUUUCCUUUACGUUUUCUUUUUUAUGAUGAAGGGGGAGAAGAAUACAUGUUUUUCAAAUUUAUAAAAAUUUACUACUUUUUUCUUUGCCAAUUAAGUUUUUCUUUUUGAUGAUGAGGGGGAGAAAAAUCCAUGUAUUUAAAUAUGUUAAUUUAGCUAAUUGGCAAAUUGUAAAAGAAGAUUAUAUUUAGGGGGAGCAAUUUGUGGAAUCAUUCUUUAAAUACAUGAAAUAUUUGUCAUCAUCAAAAAGGGGGAGAUUGUUAACAUAUAUAUUUUCAUAAUGUUGAUUUUGAUGAUAACAAACAAGAUUAAGAAUGAUAAAUAUUUUAAGCUCAAAUUCAUAUAUGUUUUCAUAAUGUUGAUUUUGAUGAUAACAAACAAGAUUAAGAAUGAUAAAUAUUUUAAGCUCAAAUUAUUUUUGUGGAAUCAUUCUUUAAAUACAUGAAAUGUUUGUCAUCAUCAAAAAGGGGGCGAUUGUUAAUAUAUAUGUUUUCAUAAUAUUGAUUUUGAUGAUAACAAACAAGAUUAAGAAUGAUUAAUCUUUUAAGCCCAAAUUAUUUAAUAUUCUUUUUAAAUAAAUCAUUAUUUUUACAUUCUAAAUGUUUCAUAUUUAAUGGAAAAAUGAUUUUAUGAAAUUGAUUGUUUUUCAAAGUUUAUGGUUUAAUUGAAAGAAUUUUGAAAACUUUGAAAUAAAGAAGUAUUGCUUGAAAUUUUGGUGAAGGACUUAUUUGAAAAGUGUCAUAACAUUUUUGGCUAUAUCAUAAUUUCAUAAAGUUUUGGGAUUGACAUAGCAUUACUUAGAAAUUCUGAAAUUGGACAUAUUUGUAAAGUUUCAUAACGUUUUGGGCCCUAAUACAGUUUUAUAAAGUUUUGGGGUCAAACUAUAAUUUCAAAAAAUAGUGCACUGGACAGGUUACUGUAGCAUCCGGCUUACCGGAUAUAAAAACUGAAAAACCGAAUAUUGGGCAGAAUGUAUCCAGAACGUAAACGGCUUACCGGAUUUCGUAACCAGCAAGCCGGAUAGGCAAAAUUCAAAUUUUUGCCUUAACGGUAACAUAAAUCCGGCUUACUGGAUUCCAUAAACGUCAAACCGGAUACGCCCAGAAUGUGCAUAACGACUAGUUUUUGAGUUCAAACUAUAUAAACUCAAAACCAAUUCAUUUUUUGUAAAUCCAAGCAAGCAAGAACAAGUGCACACAACAUAUAUUGAGCUUCAAUUUCGUAACUCAUCAUUUAUUAAAUCAUCUUUGUUCUUCAAUUUGUCUAUCCACUCUUAAAGAGAGAUUCAUUGUUGUAUUUUUCAUUUCUCAUCAAAUUGUGAGUGUACAAGUGUGAGAAACACUUGGAGUGAAGAGAUUGGAGAGAUAAUCUCUUGUUGUAAAGGUUCAUUGACACCUUGAAGUCAAUUGUAAACGUUUGAAGCCUUGGAAAGGCUUGGAUAGUGAAAUCCUCAAGCCCGGUGUGCUUGGAGGUGCGGACAUAGGCGGGGAUUGCCGAACCACGUAAAAAUCCUUGAGUUUGCUUUCUCUUCCCUUGCUCAUUUAUUAUUGUGCUUUCAUUGAAUUUAUUGUUUUCGAAUUUAUUAAGGCAUUAGAUUGGAUUUGUUUGUGGUUUGCUUAGCUUAAUUUUUAAAAACCCAAUUCACCCCCCCUCCCCCCCUCUUGGAUUGCCUAGUUAGUAUUUCACUUUUCCCAUUGACAAGUGUCAAGAUGUGCAGAUGGCGCAUAUAAAUAUGGGACCAUUUCAACCCAAACUACAAAAGUAUCAAUCAACUAGACAUGGUACGCAAAACCGUCGAUUUCAAUUUUCUUGGUUCUCGAAAUUUCCUUGGCUUGAGUAUUCGAUAUCAAAAGACAAAGCAUUUUUUUUCCAUGUUAUAUUUUUCAUGACAAGCCAUCUAAGAAUGGUACAUUUAUUGUCGAUGGGGUUCAAAAUUGGAAGUAUGUUGGUUGUGAAAAAACAUGUCCUUUUGCUCAACAUGAAGGAGGACACGGUUCUUCUCACGAUGAUGUCAUGUCAAAAUAGAGCAAUUUAAAGGAUCUAUCCAAACAUAUUGAUAAGAGAAUGAAUGCACAAUCUUCACAACAAAUUUUGGAGAAUAGACUACGACUUAAAACCUCAAUAGUAGCUACCAAGUGGUUACCAAAACAAGCAUCUACUUUUAGAGUUCAUGAUGAGUCGGUUAAUUCUCUUAAUCGUGGAAAUUUUAUUGAAUUAAUUAAGUUGUUAGCAACAAUGAAUGAGGAGAUUAAUAAAGUUGUGUUAGAAAAUGCUCCUAAAAAUGCCCACUACGUAGAAUAAUAUUGAAUAUUAUUGCUUGUAAAGUACAUCACAAGAUUUGAGAGGAAGUGGGUGAUGCUAAAUUUUGUAUCAUAGUUGAUGAGGCACUAGAUGAAUCUCACAAAGAACAAAUUGCUAUUAUUUUGAGAUAUGUUGAUUAUGAUAGUUUUAUUCGAAAAUGUUUCUUUGAAAUUGUGAAUGUCGAUGAAACAAAGGUCUUGACUUUAAAAAUGAGAUAUACAAUGUGCUUGCUCGAUACAAUCUUUUAGUUGAAAAUUUAAGAGGUCAAGGGUAUGAUGGUGCUAGUAAUAUGGCGGGUGAAUGGAAGGGAUUACAAUCUUUAUUUCUCAAUGAUUGUCCAUAUGUUUAUUAUCUACAUUGUUUUGCUCAUCGACUACAGCUCGUAUUAGUUGCAAUAUCUAAAAAGGUGCAUGAGGCAUGGCUAUUUUUUUUUUUCAAAGUUGCUAGUGCUUCUUUCAACCGUUAUUCUGAGUUAAAAUCUGCUAGAGAAAAAGAAAUUAUAGAUUUGAUAGCUUUAGAAGAGCUUGAGACUGGUACAGGGACUAAUCAAGUUAGAACUUUACAAAGGGCUGGAGAUACACGUUGGAGCUCACAUUUUACUUCAGUUAGUAGGUUUAUUUAGAUGUUUGGUGCAACUCUUGAAGUUUUAGAAAAGAUUAUUAAUGAUGGAUCUAGUCGAAAUAUGCUUGGAGAAGCUAAAGGUACACAUAGGGAGAUGAAAUCCUUUGAGUUUGUGUUUAUUUUGCUUUUAUUAAAUAAAGUUCUCGGAAUUUCUGAUAUUCUUUGUCAAGCAUUACAGAGAAAAUCACUGGACAUCUUGAAUGCUUUGAAUUAUGUCUCAAGUACAAAAAGACUUUUGCAAGAGUUUCGAGAUAGUGGAUGGGAUGAUUUUAUUCGAAGUGUAGUAUCAUUUUGUGAAAAAUAUGAUAUUAUUAUGCUUGAUAUGAGUGAUUGUUAUAUGGAACGUACAAAGAGUUUUGGUCAACGAAAAGACUAUGUUACAGUUGAACAUCAUUAUCACUUUGAUAUAUUUAAUGUUGCAAAAGAUUUUCAAUUGAUGGAGUUAAACAGUAGAUUCUCUGAGCAAACUGUGGAACUCCUUACUUUGAGCUCAGCAUUGGAUCCAAUUGAUGGGUUCAAAUCUUUGAUUUAGACAAUAUUUAUUCUUUUGCUGAGAAAUUUUAUUCUCAUGAUUUCACUCCAAAUGAGGUGCUUGCUUUGAGAAGAGAUUAGAACAUUAUCAAAUUGAUGUGCUUUCUCAUCCACGGUUUCAAAAUAUGACUUCCAUUUCUGAGCUAUAUUGAUAAUUUGUUAAAACAAUGAAGUCACAGCACUAUUUGUUGAUUGAUAGAUUAAUUCAUCUAGUCUUGACUCUUCCUGUUUCCACGGCCACAACAGAGCGUGCAUUUUCAGCCACGAAACUUAUCAAGACAUCACUUCGUAGUAAGAUGGAAAAUGAGUUUUUUUUUUUUAGAUUGUAUGGUUAUUUAUGUUAAAAGAGAAAUUACUGAUACUGUUGACUCAGAUUCUGUAAUUGAUGAUUUUUAUAAUUCGAAACCUUGAAAAGUACAACUUCGGUAGCAAAUUUGUAUUGGGAUUGUAUUUUUAUUUUAUACUACUUUUUUUAAUUUAUUUUUAUUUACAAUAUAGAUUCUACGCGUAAGGCUCCUAAUGUCCCGUGUUAUUAGGUGUAUUUUGUCAGCUAUAUAUAUGGAAUUUCAUGUUCACUUGGUACAAAUUUUUUUUACUUUUUUAAUUUAGCCCAGGGUACUAUAGGGUUCUAAGUUUGUCCCUACUGACUACCAAUACCAAUUUGGAUUUUGAUAUUGUGUUAGUGUCAUGAUGUAUCAAAUUUAUAAUCCAUACGCAUAACUCAUUAGUUGAAGUAAGGUCGAGCUUCAUUGGUAAGAAGUGAUUUUCCUAAACUUUAAGUUAUUAAGCUCCCACAUCACUUGAGACUCAAGUUGGAAUUCAGAUGUUGGAAUCAUUAGCAUUAUUCUUAACUAGUAUAUAUAGUAAAAACUCAAUAAAUAAAUAUUCAAUAAAUGAAUAACAUUGAUUAAAUAAUAAAAUUUUUUAGUCCCGACUUGGGACGUUGUAAUAAAUUAAUAUAUUUGCUAAAUACGUAUGAUAAAAAAAAUUUAAAUCCUUAAGGUCCAAUGAAAAUAUAAAUUAAUAAUUAAUCGAAUACAAAACUUAAUAAUAAAAAAAUAUAAAAUUGGUAAUAUUAAAUAGCUUUUUUCUUACAACUUCAAUUAUCUAAAUUCAACUCUUUCCAAAAUAUGUAUCUAAAGUUGUUUUUUUUUCCCUAAUGAUUUCAAACUAAAUAUUAAAAAAUAAUUGAAUAUAACUUGAGUUACUUUUGUAUUUUUUUUUUCUAAUAUCAAAGGCUCACACAAUAGUGACAAAUAUGUAAAUGAUUAUACAAAUUGAACAAAGAAAAAAAGAUAUUGUGUAAUACAAGUUUCCUAACUAAACUAUACUAUUAUGCAUAGCACUCGAGGUUUUUUUUCCCCCCUUUAAAGCAAGUAGGGGAGCCGUUAUUUCUAUUUUAUUAGAAGAGAUAUUGUUGACUUGAAAAAGCACAAUUAUUGGAAUGUACCAACAAACUCUUCUAAAACAAGGGAAAAAAAAACUCUCUCUAAAUUAAUAAAUAUUUAAUAAAUUAUUCAUUCAUUUAUAAAUAAAUAAAUUUACUAAAAUAAUUUUUUUUAGUCUCAACAAUAUUAUUUUAUAGAGGUUUUACUAUACAUGUACAACUAUUGUUUAAUAAAUAUUUUGUUUUCCAAAGGCUAAUAAAUUUUAAUUCAAGAAAGUCAACUUUUUAAUUGAGUUGAUCAUAGACUUUUUUUGUCUCGUUCUUGAGGUCGAGAGUUUGAAUGUUCUUAUUGGUAUCAAAAAUUAUUUAUUUAUCAAUUUUUUGAUUUUAUAUUUCAAAAUUGGACUAAUAUUCAAGAAGUGUUAGUUAUAUGUGGUAAAAAAUGGAGUGAACAAAAGAGCACAUUAUCCCAUCUAAACCCAAAUCAGUUUAGAUAGUUUGUAACUGAUUUGGUUGGGGUUAAAAAUAUGAGUGAAUCUAUUUAAAAUACUUUUUAUCUCUUCAAACCCCUUUUACUUUUUAUUUCUAAUAACUAUUUACCACUGAAUGAAAAUAUUAUAAUAAUCAUUCACACUCCACUCUUCUACUUUCCCUAUGUUGUGUUUAUUUAUUAGAGUGGAAAUGAGUGUGAUUUCUUCUUACUCUGACGUUUACUUACUCGUUUAAGGAAUAGAGUGUGAGUUCCAUUCCGUGGGUUCUAUUCAUUUUUAAAAUAAUGAGUGAGAUUCCCAUGAGGGAGGGUGAGAAUGAAAAUCCGCUAUUCUAAAAUGAUAUAAUUAUAUUUAUUAAAAUAAAAUAAUGUGAUAUAUUUAUCUAAAUAAUAUUAUUAUUGUUAAAGAUGAAGCUCAAAUUUGAAUUUAAGAACACAUGCAAUAAGUCAGAUAUAUUCUGAGAUUGCACAUGACAUAUCGGUUGAUAACUGACUACAUGUUAGUUGUAGAAAUUCAAGGAGCUAUAUGACAUUCUUGUAACAUCGGUUAAAUAAGUAAGUGGUACACGUGAUACGGUUGUUAUUCACGAGGGGAAAUUCUGGGCUUCUUCACAACAAACCCAGAAGACAGCAGCUGAUUGGUGCAAGGUCUUUCUAGAUCCUCUAUUGGUUAUAUAUAUGCCUUUAUGGUUAGAUCUAAACAUAGAGUGAUUCAAUAACACCUUCUGAGAAACCUUGUAUCUUGAAAAAACUCUAAUAGCGAAACUUUUCUUCUCUUUCGCAAUGGAUGUAGGCUCACUUUGUGGUCGAAUCAGUAUAAAUCUUGGUGUCAAGUGUGUGUGUGUGUGUUUGAUUCUGAUUUCUUGAAUUUCUUGUUCAGGUUGCAAUUGGUUCUUUAAUCAUACUAAAGCUUGCAUUCGUUAAGUCAAUUUUGAGAUUACAGAACAUAAGGAGUGGAUCUCGGGGAAUCUAAAUCGGUGUCUUAUCUUGUUUAGUUUCAACAAUUAUAUUAUUCAAUAAAUAUUACAUUUGUUAAAAACAAUAACAUUAAACUUAUUUAAAUAUAAUAAUAUUAUAUUGGGUUAAAAAUAAUAAUUUAUAUUGAUUCUUCGUUAAAAUUACUUAAAAAUAAUAUUACAAUAUUUAUAGAGAAUUAAUAAUGUUACUAUAUACUAUUUCUAUUUGAAAAUAUAAUAUUAUUAUAUUUAUUUAAUUUUAAUAAUUAUAUUUAUUUAAUAUUAAUAAUUAACAAUAAUAAAUAGUUUAUUCUAAGCAAAUAUUAAUUUUAUACUAUAUUGUUAAUAAUAAUGUUUCAUUUGUGUUGCUCUUAUUAGUAACUUUUAAUUUACAUAGUUAAGAUUAAAAUUAAUAAAAACUUGUGAUUUACAUAAUUAACAAAUAUUAAUAAUUACUAUUAAUUUACAUAGUUAAGAUUAAAAUUAAUAAAAACUUGUGAUUUACAUAAUUAACAAAUAUUAAUAAUUACUAUUAAUUUAUAUAAUUAAAAUUAUUAUAAAAUAAAUAUUUUUAUUUGACAAAUAUAUUUUUUAUUCACUUUGUAAUUAAAAUUCUUCUAAUAUGAGUAAAAAUAAUUUGAAAUAAUUUAUUUCCAAUCCAAAAUAAAGUAAACCCAUAAAUGAGAUUUUGAUUUUUAUUCUAUACUUCAAUUUCAAUGUAAAUAAAUAAUCGACUUUUACUCACACUCUAUAUUUUUAAUAACAAGAUUCCUACUCUCAUUUGAGAAGUAAACACUAUCUAAAUGGAUUUUAAAUUUUGAAAUAAAUCUGAUUGAGCAUGUAAUCAUGUACGUAAUUGUACACAAUCCAUUACGUAUCAUAAUUUUAUUGAUUGACAUCCCAUAAUUAGAUUAAUAAAAUCAUGGUACAAAACUUAUUGUGUAAAAUAACAUGUGCAAUGAUACUCACUUUCUCUUAACGAUUUUUUUUUUAAUUUUGUUUUAAUAAUUAAUACAUACCAUAUCCAUAUUCUAAUUACUGUAUGUCUCUGCGUAUAACAGAGGGGCAUUUGAUUUGAUCUCACAAAAUCAACGGACUGCAAUGCUUCACAGAAUUUCAUUCCGUUCUUCUUCUUCAAAAACAGCUUUAAACUGUAAGCUAACAUCUUCUCUCACUCACUUCCGGAGCCUCUCAUCUUCUGAUUCCAGAAAUAAUCUCUCUUCUUUGUUUCGAAAAACGGCAAAACCAAGCUACACUUUCUAAAUUCCUCAAUGAGAAUUGCAAAUCAGGUAACUUCACUUUGAACGAAUCACUUGAUUUCUUUGAUUACAUGAUUCGUCUGAAAUCCCCACCUCCUUUGUCAUCUCUCACUUUUUUAUUUACUGCACUUGUUUAAGAAAAAUCAUUAUGAUACUGUUUUCUCGCUUUACUGGAGGUUUAACUCAGCUGGGUUGAUGCCUGAUUUGACUUUACCAAACAUUUUUGAAUAGUUGCUUUUUGCAAUAUGGGUAGUAUUUCCGAUGGUUUUUUGGUUUUUGGGAGCAUCUUGAGGAGGGUUUUUGCCCCAGAUGCUAUGACUUUUACUACUUUGAUUAAGGGAUUUUGUACAGAGAUAAGGAUUUUAGAAGCCACUAAACUGUUUAAGAAAAUGGUUGCUUUUGGCUGUAGUCCUGAUAUCAUUACAAAUGGCACUUUGAUUAAAGGAUUGUGUCAGACAGGCAAUACAAUUCUUGCACUUAACUUGCAUGAAGAGAUGAUCAACAGGAAUGAUAAAUCAGGUGUUAUUUGUAAGCCUGAUGUUGUUACUUAUGGUAGGAUCAUUGAUGGUCUUCGGAAAGACGGUUAAGUAGACAAGGCAAAUGAAGAGUAACAUGACUUAUCAAAAUGUGAUUGUUACAGCUGUUUAAUUCAUGGUUUUGUUGUGUUGCUAAUUGGGAUGUGGCUAAACAUUUGUUUGUUGAGAUGACUGAUCAAGGUGUACAACCCAUGUGGUAACAUUUGGUGUGACGAUCGAUGUAUUAUGCAAGAACGGAAAGGUAGAAUAAGCAAGUGAAAUGUUAGAAUUGAUGAUACAAAGAAAUGUGCAUCCUGAUAUAGUCACUUACAGCAGGUUGUUGGAUGGGUUUCACUUGAUAGGUAGAAUUGCUGAUGCAAUGAACCUCUUUAUUUCAAUGAUGAAUAAGGUGUGUAGACCUAGUGUUGUUAGCUACAGUAUCUCGAUCAAUGAGCAUUGCAAAAGGUAGAAAGUAGAGGAAGCAAUAAGUUUGUACACGGAAAUGGUUUCAAAAGGGAUUAGACCUGAUGUUGUUACUUAUAACACCUUGUUAACUGGCGUCUUUCAGGUAGGUAGGGUUGGAGAUGCCCGUAAACUGUUUGAUUGGAUGAAAUCUAACAAGGUUGUCAUGAUUCAAGGACAUAUAUUGCACAAAUUGAUGGUCUUUGUAAGAAUGGUUAUCUUUGAGAGGCAUUGGAACUUUUCAAUAAUUUUUUUAAAACUGCAAGUUUAAAUUCUUCAUUGAAAUCUUUAAUUGCAUUCUUGGUGGAUUUUGUGAAGCAAGGAGAUUGGAAAAGGCAUGGUAGUUAUUUCACAAAUUGCCUCAUCAUAGGUUGGUUCCAAAUGUUGUAACACAUACCAUCAUGAUCAUGGGCUCGGUAGAGAAGGACAACUAGAAACGGCGAAUGAUGUGUUACUGUUUGUGGAUAGAAAUGAUCGUGCUCCAAAUGCAGUCACAUCUGAUACAGGUAUGUGCGGUUUCUUGUAAAAUAACAGGAUGCAAAAAGCGGUUGAGCUUCUUCACAAAAUGAAAGAGGGAAAUGUGAUGCCGGAUGCACAUCUAUAUUCCAUAGUCGUGGAAUCACUUGCAACGGAUUGAAAAUAUCGUGAAUGUCUGGACUUGCUACCUUCAUUUCCUGUUCAUGAGCCAUCGACAUGAUGAAAGAAACUUCUUAUGAGGCCAAUGGAGAACUUGUUUUGAGGUUGGCUUUAAACUGUCAAGCUGAUGGGAUGGAUUGAAUUUAGAUUGGUUAUCUGCAGAAAUUUGCAUGACUUCUUGAAUUGGUAAGCUUGCUAAAAGAGCAUGAGUAAUUGUCAGUUUUACAAAGGCAUAUAUAUGCAUUCUUUCAACCUUCUUCUGCAUCUCGUAAGCUGUGAGUUGGUGAAAUAUUCUAUUCUGUUUAUAAAAUUAAAUCUCUAGAACCAGUGUUUCUCUUGAAAUGUGUAUUUAUUGUCGUAGUUACUUUAUGAAAUGAGUUUUACUUGUUUUGUGGUUCAAUAUUUGGAAUUUAGCUUUGUUAUCAUGUGAAAUGGUUGGUAGAAUUGUUAUACUGCUUUCAACUGGAUGAAACACUUGGGCUUCUGAAUUACAGUUGUGGAGAAAACUCUUAUUACAAAUACAGAAAAUUGAAUGGAAUGCAGUGAUUAUGAUGAGUGGCGUGUGUGUAUCUUAUGUGACCUCAUGGUAUUGCUUAUGUGAAAUGUGUUUUUCUUGAGAUUGUUUCCCAAUGAUUUUUUGCUUCCUUGAUGUCCUUUUUUUCUUUCUUUUAUGGGCAUGAAUAUCUGCCUUAGGAGAUUCUGAUAGGUUAAUUAGUGGCAAUUACAUUGUGUUUAUGGUAUUAGAGCUCUACAUGUUAUUACAUUUCAGAAUCUUGUUAGAGCCAUGAACUGGAUUGACUGAAAACUUCAUUCUUAUAAUACUCGGAGUCAAAAGUUGUGUUAGGUUUUGAUCGGUAAAAUGAGGUUGACAAGAAAAUGCCUUUGGUACCCAGGGUUGUGAAAAUUUGAUAAUUAUGCUCUUUAAAAUGGUAUGGUGCAAUUCUUCUGGUGUGCAAUGUUUCUUCUUCAAGUCAUAAUCUUUGAGUUGGUGUGUUGUACUAUUCUGGGCAGUAGCUCAUGAGGUAAUUUCCAUGACUGAUGCAAAAACUUAUUAAAAACGGUAAAUAAUAAAAAUAGAUCAAUUGUAGUAAUCAAUUUGUGAAAUGAGAUUUGCUAGUUUUGAGGUUCAAGGAUUGAGAUGAACUUGUUAGCGACUAGAAUUGUUAUGCUGCUUUCAUGAGAUGAAAUGAGUUAUAGUUAUUCUACACGCUUAAAAUUGUUAAAAAAUCGAAGUGCAUUGCAUCAAUUUCUCUUCAAAAUAAAGUGAACCAAUUUGCUAUCUCAAUCUUUCACAAAUUUGAAUCCAUGGACACUGUAUUGAUCUCCAAAGGUAGAAUAAGAAUGAACAAAACCAAGAAAAAUGCUUGUUGGGAAUAUUUGCUUAUUGUAUAGAUGAAGAAAAUUAAUCCAGAAAAUUGCUUCUAAAUCAAAGCUGUAUAGAGUAGCUGGUUCCAAGUAUCUGGAACACCAGCGAGACACCAAUGGCUGCAGUCAUCAAAAGCGCUGCCUCUGCCAGUGUAAACAGAAGGGUGGCCGUCUCUUCUCAGUUGAGUUAGCAGUGUAAUGUCAAGCAAAUAAGCAGGUUUGGCCAUUGAACUUAUUACACUCUUUACAACAGCUUCUCCAAGAUGAGCAGGGCCUGGAUAUUUUGGUCCCUUCAUGGGUUCAGUUUGUCCAUCACAACCCUUUGCUGUUGGAUCUCCCCAUUCCCUGCCACUGAAUUGGAGAAGAACAGAGAUCGAUUAAUUGGUAACCUGUCUAAACUUACAACAUUGCGCUGGAGUCUUUGAUAUAUAGUCUUUGCUGGUGUGUGUAUAUAUAUAUAUAUAUAUCGGUCUUACUCGACAUGAACUGCUGCAACUCCUUGGAAGAAGACUUUAGUUUUUGAAAAAUCAAUGUUAGAACCCACCCAUUUAGCCCAAGUUGUUAAUGCUAUCUUCAGAGCUUCCAUACGAUCCAUCUGUUUAAAAAUCUUCCUUCCCACUUGAAAGUAAUCCCAUCUGCCAUCAAAAACCAAAAAUAGGUUAACUCUCUGCUUAUCAGACUUGUAACCUGUAAGGUAAAACUUUUCACGUAUGCUUUAGGUUUUUGAUACAGUGCAUGUGUAUAUAUAUAUGUACGUAUACACACACAACAAUAGUUGUAUAGUUAAAAAUAUAUGACACACUUUUGAGAUUUUCCAGUGUGGAUCCACCAAUGAUAAGUGUUGAAGAUCAACAUAUCCACUCCUAGCCACUGAUGGCCAGUGCUGAUUGAAUCAAGCUUCAGAAUUUUGCCAAUUUUAUCAUGAACAAGAUCCACCAAGAAUCCAUUUUUUAACCAUAUAACUGAGGUCUCAUACUCCUGCAAAUACAAAAACUUAGUUUGUAAUCAAGAUCUAUUUAAUAUGAAAACAACUUGUAUUUAUUAUAUAUAUGGAAAGCCUACCUGGAGAAAAAAUGUAGAAAGCAGGCCUUUCUGAGAAAUUGUGUAAUUGGAAUCAGGGACAGCAAAGUGAAGCAUGCAUGCUAGUGAUAGCCACAUAUUGUUACUGAGAGAGUCCCCAACAAACAUAAUCUUUUUCCCUCUGUAUCUCUCCAAGAAAUCUCGACCAUCGAACCUACUUGAUCAUACAACCAAAAAGAUCAACAAUCGGGUGUUUGCUUGUGCUCGGGUACUUAAUCGAGUAAUUUUUAAGCAGUUUUAUUUUAUUGACCACCUGAAUUUAAAUCUUAAGAAGAUAGGGACUAAAAAAUUUAUCUAGAUUUUAUUAUCUUUUUUACCUUUUAAAAAAAUGUAAUUGUAUAUCUGUGUCUUUUUAUUAAAGCCAUAUGAAAAAAAUGAAACCAACAAACAAACAGACAACAGGAAUAGUUUUCGUCACCUUGGAAGGUUGCAAGCAGAAGGCUGCCAUCUGUAUUUAAGAUACUUCUUAUCAGGCCUACCAUUUCUUUGGCAAUCAAAUCCUCCUCUUAAGAAUGGACAAUUCCAUGAACUGUAAAGUGGGUAUGAAUCAUCAUAAACCCAACUCCCUUCAAAAUAACUGCAGCCAUUUUUGUGCCGCUGCUUCUGCUCCGUCCUUGUAAUAAUACCAUAACUGUGAGUCAAAUUUGCAUGCACUUUGGCUUUAAGGGUAGCUAGUAGAAACCCAAAGAAAAGAUGAUAAAAGAUACCAGGCCAAGCAUCAGCCAUCUGAAAAUUUUACAGAAUUUGAGUUGAUUAAUGGUAAUAUAUCUCUCUCACACACAUAUACAAGUGUAUAUCUAUGCAUCAGAAUUAACUGUUUGGUAGAUUUUGCAUUAAGGUUCGUUUAUGGUAACAUGAUUUUAUGUUUUUAUUGCUGAAUCCAGAGAGAUUGGACAUGUGGGGGACCAAAUACAUGUGUGAGGAGAUUACAGUUUUGGACCCGUGACUUACAUGUUUUAAUUUUAAAAUAAAGGCUAUGAGUUAUGACUAAAGUUGUAUCUAGAUUUUACAUAUAUAUAAUCAGAUUUGAGCCAUGUUUUGAAGAUUAAUUAACAUUAUUGUUUGUUAGAUUAUAUUAUAAUUACAUUUAUGGAAAGAUAAUUAUAUAUAGGACUGUUGACAGCUGAGGAUUGGUAUGAACGAGAGUGUUUAAUUUAUCAGACAAAAUAAAAUUUUACCGUGCUGGACAAAUAAUUAAUGUGAUAGGGUAUGUAGAAUAAACCAAUAUAAUAUAAAAUAGUAGGCUAUAUAAAUUCCGAAAAUAUAUAAAGAAAUUAUUGUGUGAUCUUUUUCUUUCUUGCCUAUUUGCAGUGAUAAUCAUGUUUAAUAUAGACAUUCUUACGAGUAAUUAACAGAGCUUUUUGUUUCUUACCUUUUUGAAUUCUUUCGUAAGUAAAGAAUUUAAUAAAUAUGUAAUUGAAAAAGAGAGAGAAGGAGAUCAAUAAAAAUGUUCACAAAAAAUCAGCAAACUGUUAAGUUUUUUUUUUAAUAAUAAAAUUGUAAAAUUUAUCUAAUUUAAUUUGGAAAAUUAAGUAAUGACAGCAAUAAGCCUAAUAAAAAACCUAUUUGCCGUUAGUCUUCAAAUAGCUUCUCUUAUAAAAAAACAUGUUUUACAUGAUUAAAAAUUAUAUUGUUAAUUUAAAUAAUAAUAUUUUUUUUUUUUUGUUAUUACUCACUCCUAAUUUAAAUAACUAAAAAUAUAUGUCAUAUCUCAAGGAUUUGUAAACCUCAUCUGUUUUGUUAUCUUUGAGAUCUUUUCUAAGAAAUAAAUGAGGAUUUUAUUUUUAAAAACUUACAUAAUUCACAGUUAUUUUUAUUUUAAAAAAUGUUUUUUUCAUUUCAAUUAUUCAAAUUCACCAGGGUAAAACUAUUAAAUUGAGCAAAUUAACAAUCAAAAAAUAAGGAUGUGUUGGGAUAUUUUACAAACGAUAACCGUUAGAGAAGUGAGGCAGAGCUAAACUAGGGAUGUAAAGAGAAUUUUCCUGAUUCAUUUAUUAUUGAUUCUAAAAUAAAAGUAUAGAAUUAAUUUAUAUUUGACUUGUUAUGAUAUCAUACAUCAAAUCCAAAAGUUGUUUUAUAAACUCAAAUAUAAUUUUAUUGAUUCAACUUUUCAAUUGUUGGACACGACUAUUGAGAUAAUGUAUGAUACAUCAUAAUGUAUCAUAGCACUACCCUUGAUUUUGAAUCAAUACCUUAUACCUGCAUCAUGUAUCAUUGAAAAUCUUUUGAAAUAGUUAUGAGUAAAAAAGUCUGUGAUAAUGACGAGUGAUAGUUAAUAAAAUGUAUAAAGUUUUUGAAAAUGAUGAGUAAUAAACCUAUUUAUAAGUACUUUUUUUUGUCCUAUUUAAAGUAUAAGAAACCAAAAAUGAAUUUCUUUACCUUUAAGAUAAAAAAAUAAAUUAGUGCCUCAAAAUGAAUUAAAUUAAGAAACUUAUUUAGUAAAUUAUGUGACUUUAAUUUAUUAUUUUCUUAAGGUAGCCGUUUGCAAUUAAAAUCUAGAUAAUUUAUAGGAUAAAUUUUGGAUUACUCCUCAUGAAUUGACUAUUUUCAAAUAACUCUCUUACUUUUGAAAUCUUAAGUUACUCUCGUUUUUGUUCAAAGGAUAAGGGAAAAAUGGGGGUGGAUUGAUGAUUGAUUUUUUAUUUUUUUUGGUCUUUUUAACAAAAAUUAGGAGGUAAAUUGAGAUUUUUAAAAGUAAGAAGGUGAUUUGAAGAUGGUCAAUUCAAAAAGAGAUACUUCAAAAUUAACCAUAAUAUAUACAUACAUGUGAAUUUUUUAUUUUUCCAGUGAACUAAAGUCUAACUCCAGUAAUAAGGAGUCCUUAGGAUUUAGGUCAUAAGUUCGAGCUUCAAUAAAUACUUGAGUUAAUAAAAUAAAAAUGUUUUUAGUAGUUAGCCGAGCUAGGUGGUGUAAGUGAAAGUUUAAAUAAUAUAUGUAUCUUUUAUAUAAUUUUUACCUUUUUUCAAAAUUGAAUACUUAUGUCUAUAUAGAGUUGGCAAAAUGUAGGCUUGGGCCAAGUUUUUCCAAGCUCAGACUCAAGUCAUAUUAUUGAUAACAAGCACAAGUUCUUUAAAAGCCCAUCCAAGUAUGGAUGGAUUGGGCUUAGGUCGGGCCUAGACGGGCUUGGGGCGGGCCAAUGCUUUUUUCAUUAAUUAGGAAAUAAUUUUUAAAUUAAUUAAAAAAUAUUUAAAUUAAAGAUAAUUACCCAAUACAUAAUAAAAUAAUAGUCUAAUACGCAAAAUAUUAGUAACACAACAUAAUAAAUCACAAACAUUAAUAUAAAAAUAUUAAUUUAAUAUUUUGAGUUUUUCUUUUUAUUUAAAUUUAAUUUAUUUUUUAUUUAUAAAUUAAAAAGUCUGGGCUUGUUCCUAGGCUUUUAACUAGUCCCAACCCAAAUAUUUCUAAUGUUUUCUUCAUUUGUCCCAAGUUAAUUUACAAUUUUCAUUACAACCCCAUCGAAAUAAUAUCCAAUUUUAGGGAUGAUAAAAUGCGGGCUUGUGUCGGGUUUUUUCAAGCCCAAGCCCAAGUCCAUUAGAGUGGAAGUGUAAGGGCCGAACCCAUGGGCCAGGCCGAGCUUGGGCUUUUAAUUAUUUUUUCAAAAUUUUUUAAUGGGUGUAAACUUGAAAUGAGUUAAUAAUAAUCAAGUUGUUAUAAUCAACAAUGAAUUAAAAUAAAUAAAUAUUUUGAAAUAAAAUAAUAAAUAAAGAAAGUGAAGCAAAUAAAAGUAUAGAGAUCUAAUUUUUUAGUACAAAAUUCUCUAAUUCAAUCACUUGCUUAAUUAAUUAACACUUAAAAUAGAGUUUAAUAUUAUAAUUUUAAGUUUUUUUAUUCAUUAUUGAUAUAUGAAUUAGGAAUUUAAACUUUCUUUUUUUUCUAUUAUUUUUUAAAUUUUAAUAUAUUAUUCUAUUUAUAAAUUAAUUAUUUAAAAAAUAAAGGGAUUAGGCUUAGGUGGGGUUUUUUCCUUAAACCUUGUCGAGGCUCUCAUGUGGGAGGCUUAGCUUGACCCGGAUUUUUUGCCAUUUCUAUUCAGUUUAGUCAAUGUUUAAAUUUAGUAUGUUGUUACACAAUUAAGAAACGUGAGUAUAUCCAUUAGGGAUUUUUUUCCCUAUGGAUUAUUUUUUAAAAGAAUAGAGAGGGCUACAAAACUCCAAUCAAUUUUUAAUUUUCUACACUUUUUAAAGUUCAAACUUGAAAGACCAACUAAAUAAACUGUUUAAAAAUUAUUUGAUUAGAAUAUUGGAACAUCCAUUAGAGAAAGUUUGAGAAUUAUUUUUACUUUCAAAUAUAGUUGAUCCGAAUAAUAUCUUUAUCAUCAUCAUCAUCAAUUUCUUGCAUUUCUUCCGCUAACAAGAAUUGCGUACAAAAUCUCAUUCCAAGUAUCAGGAACGCCAGCAAGACACCAAUGGCUGCAAUCGCUUCCCUUUUGGCCGUCGAGUCCAUAUAUUGAUGGAUGGCCAUCUUUUCUCAUCUGAGACAGUGUUGUUAUGUCCAGCAAAGUAACUUGCGUUGACAUACUGCUCAAGACUUCCUUCACAAUCCCCACCGCUGGCGGUGAACCUCCGGGAUAUGUUGAACCAUUUAUUGGUUGGGUUUGUCCGACGCACGUUGAUUUCGACUCACUCCAUUCCUGGCCACUGUCCACCAUAUAAAAAAGGGGGAAAAAAAUAAAUUUAUCGACUGAUGGCCUGUCAAGCACAAAUUGAUUCAGAGGGCAAUGGACAGAUUGAAUUAUUAUGUAUGUAUAUGAGCUGAAAGUGCUUACUUGUAAUGUGUAGGAGAAAUGCCUUGAAAGAAAACUUUGGUGGUGGUAGGAUCAAGGGAAGAAUCAACCCACUUCCCCCAAGUAGUGAGUCCUUUGUUAAACGCAACCAAACGAUCCAUAUCUUUUUGUAUAUUAUUUUCUUCUUGAAUGUAGUCCCAUCUGAAUCAAGCUCAAAAAACAAAUUAAUUUUAUCAAUUAUUCUUGAACAUUAUAUUUCGUUCAAUUAAAUUAAUAAGAAAAUGAUCAAAAUCUCCCUCUUUAUUUGUUAAAAUUAUCGUUUCUCACGUUUUGUUUCAAAACCCACCAAACUCUUUAAAAUUCUUUAAAAUGAUUCUGUUUUUCAAUCGAUCAAUUCAUUUAAUUGUCGACAAUGAUUUAGGCAGGGAGUAAGCCUAUUUGAAUCUAAGAUUUUUCUCGAUACACCCUUUUUUUAAUUAAUGUUUUUAUUAUUAAGAAAAUAUGGGAUAAAGUUACCUAAUUAACCCUAUUUUCAAUUUCUCUAACAAACCACUUUGUCUUUCUUUAGUUUCUUACCAUUCUCUCUCUCACGCUCUCUCUCUCGGUUGUGAUAGAUUGCAUAUGAAUAUGAGUAAUGAUGAGAAGAUUGUUCAAAUAGAAAUUGUCGUAACCUAUCAUCUAUCAAGAAUAAAAAUAAACAAAUUAAACCCAACAUCUAAAUACAACUUUUUAUUUAUCUUACUAAGUUACAUAAUAACGUAACUUACAUCAACCCAAGAGUUGUUCCAAACAAGAAAGUGUAGUUUAAUUGCUAAAUAAUCUUAGGUCAUUAGGCACCACUCUUGGGUGAAUGCCCUUUGUCAUCCAAAUUUUCAUAAAGAAAAAUCUAGCAUCACCUAAUUUCUAUCUAAAGUUAAGGAUGUAAACUAACAAAUAUCUCCAUUUUAAUCACCAAAACGAUGUUUUAGAUUUUGACAAGAUACUUCUACAAUUUAUAAAUUAUUCAAUUAAAACAAUAAUUUACGUUGAAUAUACUGUGUUUAAAUAAGUUGUUAUUAUAACAUCUAGAUCGAGAAGAAACAAUAUUCGAUGAUUUACUUAUAGAAAAAAGAACUAAUGGCUACAAGAAAUAAGAUAAGAGAGUUCAAUUUACAAAUAGCGAUGGUAGAGAAAGACUUUUAUUAGAGUGAAAUUGAAGAAGAAAGAGAUUAGUGAGGGUUAAUUUUAGAAUUUUAAAAAAUUAAAACUUUUAGUAAUAAAUAUUUCUUUUUAAAUAGAUUUAAAGGAAAAAUAUUAAUGGUUCAAAUAGUCCCACUCCUUGGGCAUAGGGUCAGCAAUUUGAUUUAAAAAAAUAAUUAAUUAAUCGUAAGUCUGAUUCUUAGGGAUACUAUAGUAGAAUACAUGUAAUAAUUAAUUAAUUAAUUAAUUGUGUUAAUCAAUGUUGUCUUACGGUUGUUUGCUUCCUUUAUGGAGCCACCAAUGCCAGGUAUUGAAGAUAAGCAUGUCAUAUCCUUUCCAUGCAUCGCCGUGCUUAAUGGAGUCGAGCUUUAGAACUCUGCCAAUCUUUUCUUUUACUAUGUCGACAAGAAAGGCAUUACGAUCUAACUUCACAGAAAUGUCAUAUUCCUGCAAAUUAAAAUAUAAGAAAUUUGAUUGAUAAAGCUCGGCUUAAUUAACUAAUUGAAGCAUGUAUAUGUUAAUGUUUAGCAAUUAAUAAAGGUUAUUUAAUAAACCUACAGGUAUAGUGAAGGUUGAGACGCCAUUUGUUCUGCUGAUUGUGAAGUUUGUUUGGGGCACCGAAGCAUGUAACAUGCAUGCAAGUGACUGCCAUUGAUUUAGGCUCAGAGAGUCCCCCACAAACAAUAUUUUCUUCCCCUUGUACCUCCUCAAGAAAUCCCGGCCAUCGAAUCUGCAUCAUAUAUAUAUAUAUAUAGAUAGAUACAUAGAUAGAAAGCUAGAGUUCUUAGUAAUUGCAGUUGCACCGCCAUAUCCAUAUUUGCAAAUUCUCUCAAAUAAAAGAAAAGUACAUGCUUUAUGUUUUGUUAUUUGCUUAACUAGACAGACUUCCGUGAACAUUGCAUGUAUAUAUACCUGAUCAAGUCCAAAUGCUUCUUGUAUCUAUAAAAUACAGAAGCGGCACAAAAUUAUUUUACGUCGUCCAGUACUCACCAUAAAGUGAACACUGAAUACGUGACACAAUUUUAUGACUUAUUAUGAAUAUUGUUGAGAUUAUGAAUUAACCAAAUAUCAUCAAGUGAUGAUGACACCACUAUAAGAUGAGCACCAUCGCUUACUAAAUCAUUAAUGUGUGUACAUGUGUGUGUGUAUAUAUAUAAUUAUUCUUGAUGACUGAAACACACAACAGUUUAUGUAGAAAAAAUUUGUAAUGGUACAAGAAGUCUAGGGUGCCAUGGGAGGGAAGAAAAUCGAGUGACCAUCCUACUACUUAAUAAAUAAAUAAAUAAGUCCCUGCACGAAAUUAAAUUUUGAGUUGUUAGAAGCAAGGAACGCAAAACAAGAAACAGAAAAUAAAUAUUGGUACCUUGGCAAUUCACAAGCAGUAGGCUUCCAUUUGUAUUUGAGAUACAGUUUAUCAGGGCGACCAUUUUUGAGGCAGUCAAAUUCUCUUUCGAUAAAUGGACAAAUUGAGGUGUCAUAAAGAGGGUAAGUGUCAUCACGAACCCAACUCCCUUGGAAGAAAUCACAGCCGCCCACUUUUGAAUUACCUAAUGAUAGAUCACUAAGUUGUUGGUCAUCACCAUCAUGAACCUUAGCAGCGUCUGAAUAUUGAUGAAGACAAGAGACGAAAACAACAGCUGCAAAAGCAAUACUGUAGAGAAAGUUAUGAAACCCAUAUCCCAUUUUUGAUGAAAGAGAAACGAGGAGCAAAAGGAUAAGGACUUUGAUAAUGAGUUGUCCUUGCGCUUGUGGUAAGAAUAUAUCAUAUAACACAAGGUCUCAACUUAAGGGACUAUAUAAUUUUAGAGAAAAGUAUAUUGAAUAGUUUAGAAAUGCUCUUAAGAGAAGGAAUACAGUUGGGUUUGCUUUAAGACAAAGACAUGAUUCCUUUUUUUUUUCUUCUUUUUUUUCCCCCUCUUUCUUCUUCCUUUUUAAGUGGGAAUUUUGCUUCUUCUUUUUAUUUUUUUUUUUGCCCCCACUACAUUUUUUUUUUUUUCUGAUAGGACCAAAUUCUUCCAGAGACUUAAAGUCUACAUCUCAUAAUGUCUACUCAAUUUAAUUUGCUCAAUAUGUAAUUUUUAUCCCUCAAAGGAAAGAUUCCCUUCUAGUCAUACAUAUUCUGCUUUACAGCCAAAAAUGUAAAAGAGCUUCGUUCCCUUUGAAUUAUUGAUAAUGUUAUGCAUGUGCAUAUAAUUGAGAUAUAAAAUCUAUAAUUCAAGUGAUGCGGCAUAAAAUUUGAGAAGAGAAGAGAGGGUUUCAAAUUUCACGUGCAAACACAUAUUUAUGGAAUCUAAACUGUGUUUUUGCCAUACAAAGAUCUACGUAGAUGUGAAUACAAUAAUUAUGUGGCGAAUGCAAUGAGUGAACAUAAUUGGAACACAACUAUGUUUCUUGUCAUUUUCCAAUAAUUGGAUAAUUCAUAUCUCUCCAUCACAAGAUUUAAUAGGAUAUAUAAAAGCUAUAAUAGUUAAAAUAUAUGUGUUUGAUUUAAAGUAGUUGGCAAGUAUAUUAAUCUAAUUCUUUAGUAAAAUUAUUGUAAUAGUGAAACUACGACUACUUUCAGUUUUUAAAUCAUUGUAAAAAAUCCGCAUUACUUAAAAAAAAAAUCAAAUAAGAAAGAAGUUUGGACAACCAAUCAGUUACAUCCUUAUUACCUAAUUUAUUUGUUUUAUUUUUAAAAAAAAUUUAAGUCCCUUUAACAUGUUGAAAAUAAAAUUAAUUUAUUUUUUUAAGGUAAAAGUACCUUAAAUUCCGUCUCAGGAAAUUUAUAAAUCGUUAAAUUUAUUUCAUUUAUACAUUGGCGGCACUAAAAGUUAAGAAGGAUUUAAUUGAUUAAUUGUCAAAAAAAUUUUAUUAUUUAAGUUUUAUAAAAGUAAUAGAUUUUCUGGAAUUUUUUUUUUUGAAGUGUAGUGUGUUUAUACAAAUUUUGGUGGAACCAUCCCCACUCCUUUUUGGCAUUCCUUAGUUUUUCAAAAUCAACUGAAAUUAAAUGUAUAUUUAAAGAAAGAACAAAAUAUCACCAAGACCCCUUAUCUGUAGUUGCCUUCAAAAAUUAAAACUUAAUUAUUCAAUAAACCAUUACUUGUAUUUGUGGUCUGAGUGAUAGUUUGCACUUGAAACAUUCUGUUAUAAAAAAACUAUUUUUGACCUCAAGAUAGCUUCACUUGAUAUGCCCAGGCCUUGCCUGGGAAGUCCAGAUUUUAUUAAAAAUAAAUAAAAAUAUUUAAGAUAUAUUUUUUAAUUAAAAAAUCAAGUGAUAGAUUAAAUUUAAAUUUAUUUUUUAGUCCCUCACUUCUCCCACCAAAAAAAAAAAAUUUGCUUGAGAAUUUCUCAGUUAGAAUCUAAAAAAAAAAAAUUAACUUAUUUAGCCACAUGUUGCAUAUAGUUAAACCUUUAAGCCCACCUUACCAAACCCCGUCGUAUUUUUAAAAAAAAUAAAAAUAACAACUACAAAUUUGUCAAAUAAAUUUAAAAAAUAAGAAAAAUGUUACAAAACAUGAAAUUCGGGCUUUUAAAACCCAAAAAAAAAAAGAUAGCUGCUGAGCCAAGCCCAAGUGUUCAAAAUACAAGCUCGGCUUGAGCCCAGAUAUUGCCAACCCGAGGGAUUUUGUCAUCCCUAAUCUUAAUUUGGAGGUAUUGUCAUCCUCGAGCUUCAUCCUCCUAAAAGGGUUGACCUGUACUCUUGAAAAACCUUGAUUUUUACAAUAGAUCUUUUUUGACUUUCCAUAUUGGAGGAUUGAUACUAAUAAAAGGAUAAUUCGCAUGAACCUUGUGUAAAUAAAGUCCUCCACAAUUUUGAAAUGUAGCAGUCCAAGCCAGUUCAAACUCUAUUGGCAAGCUAUUUUAGAUUCUUAAUGGAGCAAUAUCAGAUGAGGCAAAUAAAGUGAAAGAGGUCCCAUAUACUAGUGUCGUAUAUUAUUUAGGUCUUAUUUGGGAUUGAGGUACUGUAAUUUUUAAGUUACAGUUGUUGUAGAAAAAAAAAAUUAUAACUAUGAAACAAAAGUUAGUAGUAUGCAGUAAAUAUAAAUUUUAACUAAUAAUUUUCACAAAAUUAUUAAAGAUAUAAUAGAUUUUUUAUUAAACAAGUGAAAAAUUAUAUCAGCAUAUUUUCCAGUCUAUAACAUCUAGUGUUUACCAAACACUUUAAUGUUGUACAUUUCAAGUUACAUACCAAACGGACCCUUAAUGUUUGCAACAGUGCUUGCAAGGUUUGACAUUAAUUUCUCAAGCGACUACUGUUGUAAGCAGAUACACUGCAAGACCUGGAAAGAGCACUAGAAAACAAUUGAAUGGAUUCUGAGACACGUAAGAGCAUAUCCAACUAUAAUUUGAUAUAUCGAGGUGAUAGGUACCAAGAUUGGAGUUUGGUGGGAUAUGUGGAUUGAGAUUAUGAUGAAGAACUUGAUGGAAGAAGCUUCUUAAGAGAGGGUACAUCUUUACUCUUUGUAAUCGUACCAUCAACUCGAAUGCAAGCCUUCAGCAUGUAGUGACUUUAUCAACUACAGAAGUUGAAUAAGGCUUGAAGAAGAAUGAAUGAAGACCUAUAUUAAUGUGUUAAUCUAAAGCACUAGUCCAAAAAUCUGCUCCAAUUAAAGAAGAAUGAAGAAGUUUAUUCUUAAAUUAAACUAAAUCAUAUUCUGACAACCAUAUGAGGAGACUUGACUUUAACAAUGAGGACAAAGAAUAUUGGUCGGACCAUUAUUAUUGUUAUUAUUUACAACAAAAUUACCUUCUGUAUUACUAGCCGCACCCCAAUGAUAGAGUCAUUCAAUCGUCUAUUAAAAAAUAAUAAAAAUUGUUUUAUUACAGAGUUAAUAUUUUGGUAUAAAAAAUCAGGAGGAUGUAGCUCAAACAAGCUUUAUUCUUGAGCAAAUUACCCCAGAUUUAAUCUUUAACUAAAUUAACCAAUAUAAUAGUAAUAAUAAAAUGAAUAAUGAUCAAAGAAUCAUAUUGUAAAGAAUCUCGUUCCAGGUAUCUGGAACACCAGCAAGGCACCAAUGGCUACAGUCCAUUCCUGUGGGUCCGCCAAGGCCGUAGAUCGAAGGAUGCCCAUCUUUACGCAGCAGUGAGAGAUUUGUUAUGUCUAGUAACUUCACUGGUUUUUUAAUCUUUCUUAGCGCUUUCUUCAGCACCCCCACCGCCGGCGGCAGGCCUCCCGGAUAUGUUGAUCCGAACACCGGUUCUCUCUGCCGGAUACAGCUCUUUGCACUCGGUUCAUGCCACCCCGUGCCACUAGUAUUUAUCAAAAUUCAAUGACCCAAAUUAGGUGUGUGUGAAUAUACAUAUUUGAGGAUUUAUGAUAUAGAAAUUUUAACUAAAUAAUUGUAAUUCAUUCACCUCCUAAUAGCUUUUACUAAUAUAUUAAUUAAUAUAUGUUAAUACUAAUGUCAAUUAGGAGUAAUGCUAAACUUAUAAAAUUUGUACUUAAAAUGACAUGUUACUGAUAAACGACUGUCACGCAUUUGAUAAUGAUUGAUUUUAUCUAGCAUAUAUCUAGUCAAUGUUUUUCUAUUUGCGCGAACUAUUUCAUUGGGUAUUUAAAUGUCAACAUCAAACAACUAUUAUCUUAUUUACGUUCGCUAUCAAAUCUGAAUAUUAUUCUAAUCAUAUGAUUUUGUGCCAAGUGAAAUACAAAAUAUUUAAAAACUCAAUGCUACUUAAAUUAGCAUGGAAUCGAAAAAUGAUAUUAAUUAGAAGCCAUAAAAGUAAUAAUGGGAAA